rnacentral:lncRNA from 1 species
UGAAAGGAAAAAAAAUAAAAUCUUUCUAAAAUCAGAUUGCAGAUACAUUGGAAAACUAAGAUUAAAUUGAAAAUUCGUCCACAUACAUCAAAGGCCCAUGGGUUUGAGCAAUUACAAUAGAUUGAAUCUAAUCUGAUAAAAUCUUUCCUAAACAAAUCAAUCAGACAUAAUUUAUGACCUAAUUCUAAAUAUUAUAAAAGCCUAAGACAAAAACUAAAAAAGGACGGAAAAAAUUAGAACAAAAAACCCUAAGUUGCUGCAGAAUCCCAACCAAAACACCAAAGCUCCGAUUGAAGCAUUUAGGGUUUCACAUAGAAACCCUAAGUUGACUUGAGCAUCAACCUCUAUUCAACCACCUGGAACGUACAAAAAAAAGACAGACAAAGGGAGUCAGAGGAAGAGAAAACAAAAAGAAAAAAAAAGAAUCAGGAAAGUUGGAAAUUUUACCUUUACCAGAGAUCCUUAUCUCUAUAGGUUGGUAGACAUUGAUACUUACUCUUUUGUUGUUUCUUAGAUGAGAUGGAAUGUAUAUUAAUAUUUGUUGGUGAUUUGUGUUGUUUUAAUGUGGGUUAGGGUUUGGUUUAGGGUCAUCCAGAAGGGGCUCUAGGUUCUUAGAGUAUGAGAUUUUGUUGAUUGAUUUUCGAAUUUGAGGGUUUAAUUCAUUAGCAAAGUGUUUGAAUUUAUGGCCAGGACUCAAGUUUGGAUGGAUUUGGGUGAGGAAGGUGAGAAUUUGGGUUAGGUGAGUGGUUGGCCGAAGGACGGAGAUGAAGAUUCAUAUUCUCCAAGGUAAGGGUUCUUAGGCUGAUAGGAUUCAUGGGUUAAGGUUCAUGAGUUAGGGUUCAUGAGUUAGGGUUCUUAGAUUAUUAGGGUUCAUGGGUUUGGGUUCUUAGGUCGUUAGGAUUCUACUAGGUUUGUGUUAGGGUUCAUGGAGUUGGAUGAAGUCAAUGGUUAGGGUUCAUCAAUUGGGUAGGGUUAUAAGGGCUAAGGUUGAAUGUUUGAAGAUCUAGGUUGAACUUCAACCAGAGAUCUGAGGGUCACGAUGGUGCUAAGGAUAGAAAUAGUGGGGGAUGUUAGUCAGAAGGGAGAGCAUGGAAGUAAGAGAGAAAAGGAGUCUGAAAGAGUGAUAGGAGUGAGAGAAGAAAAGAGGAGAAAAUAAAAUGAAAAUUGGGAAAAGGGGUUUUAAUACUCCCUAGGUUGGGCGCCAGAUCAUCAACACGUGGCCCCCUGAUGGCUGCGCGAUUAGAUGACUUUGACUCAUCUAGUGUGUGUGUUCUUAUCGUCUUCCCUUUAUUGACUUCCAAUCUCAACCUUUCUUUCAGGUUACCUUGACUGGUAUGCUAAGUGGAUGUUUGUGAUGAGUUAUCAUCUGAUCUAUUGGAUUAGGAUCUAACGCCCUAGAGAGAGUCAACCUUUGACUCUCUCCCAUGGACCUAAGACCAGCGCAUUGGGCCUUUCAACUACUAGGAUUAGCACUUUUUCUAUCCCAUACCCCUCAGUUUACCAGCCCAAAGGCUUCUGCAUCCCCAACCUUAUUAUUUCUUAUUUCUCUUUUACUUCUUUCUUUUCUUUUUGAUAUUUCAGUUAGACUAUUACUUAGUUCAUUAGGGUAAUUUUUAAGGUAAAAUAGGAUUAAUUUAUGAUUAAGUGAAUUAACUUAGGAUUAGUUAUGUAAAUUUAGGUUAUUAUCUUAAUUAUAUUUUAAUUUAAGUUAGUUUUUUUCUAAAUCAUAAAAAACAAAUUUAUUUCUUUGUAAUUCACUAUUCAAAAACAACACAAAUAAUAACUAUGUAUAUACGAUGGAUUUAUUUUCUAAACUAAAUUAAAACUAUAUUUUGCAAGCUAAAUUGGUUGUGUGUCACGCCUUAUCAAUCUAUAACUCAACUCAAAAUUUAAAAUCAAUCCAAACACAUCAAAUACUCUUUUCUCCGCCCUUGUGCGUUGAGCCCUUUUUUGAAAUAAACUUUUCUGCAUCCCUGAAUGAUAUGCAUGAAUGCAUGAACGUAUGGAUGCAUGCAAAAAUGAUAUUUUUAAGUUUAUAGGGAAUCCUGGGAUUGUCAAUUGCAUAUGAGUAGACAUAAAAUUACAGAAAAUAAGACAAAAGAUAUAACCAAUAAUGGAAAAUACUCAUUUUAUUCACCGGGGAAGAACAAAGAGUACAUUAUUAAAACUCUGGGAUUUGCUCGAUGAACUACAAGAAGAUCAACUUUGAACCUCUCAAUCACAACCCUACAAAAAAAAGUGAAAGACAACCCUAGGAGUAUUGUGUGGAAGCAUGUUUGCAUAAGCUUCCUUCAGCAUGCCCGAGAGAUCUUCAAUUGUAUGGUCAACAAACCUAGCCAAGUGUGCAUGUUUAUCCCUCCAAUAUUAUGCAUAAUUUAGGAGAUUAUGCAAUAAAGUGAGGAUAGAUCCAUGUAAGAGUAUUUGUAGAAAUGAUUAUUUCUGAUCAAGGAGAACUUUGAGGUAACGACAAUGUCGCUCCCAUUAAGAAUCUUAUUUGUUGAGUUGAUUAAUAACUUCUUAACUCUAAUGUGCUUUCCCUUUCAACUCUAUGAUUUCUUCAAAAACCUUUUCGAUAUCACAUUGACAUCGGUAAAGAGAAACCUCAAGCUUCUUAGCAUUUAUUUUCUCUUUCUUCAACUGUUCUUUGAAAUCUUUCAGUUGGUCUCGAAGUUCUUUGAGUUGGCCUUCAUAGCUCUCUUCCAUCUCUUUGCGAGAUUUCAGAGUUUGCUUCCAAUUGGUUACCACUUUUCUAGCAUGACACUGAGUCUUAGCAAGUUGAUUUUUCUUUGUAGAGAGGCCAACAUAAUUUCCCUUAAGAGCUUCAUCCACCUUUCUUCGCUUGUUAUGUUCAUCUUGAGCAACCUCAACAACUUUGAGCGUAUGCUCUCUCUUCUGGUUGAGAUUGAUCUUCAAAUCUUCCUUCUCUUGAGUAAAUCUACCAAGAUCAGAUUGCAAAUUUUCAUUCUCCUUUUCCAAGAGCUUGAUAGCAUCCUUAAGCUUGUCAACUUGCGAGAUAGGAACAAUAGAAGGUAUAAGAGGCUUUAGGCUCAUGGAAAGUUCCCAAGGGUAGGGAAGUUUUACGACUUUGACUCUUUGCUUGACCCAAUAAGUGUAAGGCUCCAAAGUAAUGCAACUCUGUUUUCCAAGUUCCUUUUCCCUAAUGUGGUGGAUUUUUCCUCAUGCACAAGGUAUCUAUUUCAGCAAUUAAGGAUCAUCAACCCCUUCAGCUAACACAAAUUCUUCCAACAAUUCGUCCUCAGGUUUGUUCUCCACUAGGUAACCAAGUUGAUGCAAUGAAAGAACAAGAUUGUAGUUAAUACUUCCCUUAGUACCAAUGAUAUGCACAUUAUGAAAGUCAACAUAACUAAAUAAUUUAUAUAUCCCAUCAUAGCCAUGGUUGUACCACACUAUAUCAUCGACAUUCAAAGACAUAAACCUUUGAGACCACUUCAGAGCUCCCAUAUUAUCAACAAAAUGCCAUUUCCUUGGUAAGUGGGUCAGAAGCCACUUAUAAAGCAAAGGAACGUAGUAGUUGAUCAUCCCAACCUUCUUUUUAUUCCUCCAAUGGAAGGAAAAAUAGAUAUCGCCCAGAAGUGUGGGAACAAGAUUUCUGGAUAAGAAGAUGUUGUCAACAACCUUAUUAACGAAGCCUUCAACAUUUAGAAACAAUAUCAAACCAUAAAUGAGGAGAGAAAAGAUGGCAUAUAAAGCAUCCCAACUUCCACUAUCAGCAAAUGUGGUAUCUUUUUCAAUCAGAAACUUUGAGGGAAAUCCUCUGGUGUUGCCUUUGGUACGAAUGUUAGAUUCAACCAUUUCCUUUUUUAGAUGAAGAGCUUGAGCUAUCAGUGCAGACUCUGGAAAACCAUCCAAGAUUAUGUAUGGAACCUAAUAUUUGGUUGGAAUAUGUAAGAUAUGAUCAAACUCUUCCAAAGUAGGAGCGAAUAGGAAAUCCUAGAAGGUGAAACAGUGCAGAGUAGGAUCAUAGGACUGUGCAAAUGCGAGGAUCAAGCUAGUGUCCUCCUUAGUAAGAAGAAUACUACACAAGUUUCCACAAGUCUUCUUGAAGGCAUAUAUGUGAUCAUCAACUAAGUGAGCUCCAAUAUUCCUUAACUCAUAUAGCUUGGGUUCCCUGAGUUUGUACUAGAAAGUGUUUCUUCUGUCGGAUUUUUCUAUAACUGAAUAUUUUAGUAUUACUGGAUGAUUGUGGAUUCCUUGAAAAUCAUGUACAUGCUAAAAUGAAUUUCAUGUGGAUUAAAUGCAUACAUGUAUGCAACAUCCAUGUAUUCAAAGGUUCGUCGUAUUCUGCAUAAUCUGAAUAUACUUCUUGAUGCAGGUUCAAAGGUCCGACAUAUUCAUGAUAAUCAAGGUAUGUAGAGUUUUGGGUUUCCUGUAAACGCAUAUCCCCUCAUAGGUAGCUAAUAUUCUUCAAAGAAAGAGGUUUCUAAAAAGGUCCUUAGAGUCACAGACCCAUUUUGAGAUACCACUACCUAGAAUGAAUGACUCGUCGGACAAUGAUGCUCCCAAAAGGAUCUACUUUAGGGAUGGCGUCUCGUGUUAACGACGAUCGAGGCAUAACACCAAGGAGGUCAACAUGACUCUACCACUAACUAUCCUGUGUGUAUACUCAAGCUCGGGUAUAGAGAUUUUCUCUCAUGUAACAUCAUAAACCUCAACCCAUAACAGAGAAUAUAACAGAUAUUCAAAAUAUGAUAAAUAUAUAAAGCAAUAAAAGCAAUAAAAGCAAAGCAUGUAAGAGUAAAUAAAGAUGAAAUAAGAUAUGGAAAGUAAAAGAAUAAAGCUAAACACCAAACACACAAAUAAAACAACCAAAACUAGGCUUGACUUACUUAUGGACUCCCUAGCAGAGUCGCCAACUGUCAUGCCACGAAAAAUACCCAAGCGCAUCACACGCUUGAAAUACAAUAGAGUCACCACCAAACUUUAUUUAUUCCAAAGGAAAGGGAAAAUAUAGAUAAAACCCAGGGGGAAGAGAAAGAGGGUAAUGAAGUCGGUUAUGCAAGGGGAAUGUAUUAACACCUCUUACAUCUGUUGUACUCAACAGGAACCAUUUUGAUUGUUCUUUGGGUGGAUGGGUGUUAUUAUCUAAAGGUUACUUGCGAUUGAAUUUAAUAAAGGGGAAAAUAAUUUUAUUAAUUAAUGUGUUCGCCAAGGAUUCAAACCCUAGUUCCUAUGUAUUCUCAUAGUACAAUGAGAAAAUCAGAGCUCCAUAGUUCAUGGUAGAAAACUACGAAUUUGUUGGUUGCUUUUAGUAACAGUUAUAAUCAUAUCUUGGAAGUAGUUUGAUGUUAUCUGAUUUGAUCCUAGUUCUGAUGCUCUAAGCUUUUAGUAUGACUGCUAAGGAACAAAUUAUAACAAUUCUUUUUGAAAUGAAAGAAAUUUGUUCUUUGAAAAGGUUUAAGAUUGAAUUGAAUUGAAAAAGCUUAUGAAUGUUUGUAAAUAUUUGUGAAAUGGUGAAGGUGUUGUUUAGUAGGGUGAAAGUAUUGAACGAUAUGGUGAAAGUAUUGUUUGUACCAAGAUUGUAUUGUUUGAACCUAUAAAGUGGUGUCUGAACCAUGAAAAAGAAAUAAAAGUGGUGUUAAAAACCAAAGAGAAAAUAAAUGUGGUGUUUAAACCAAAGAUAUGGAUGUUUUAACCAAGAUGGUGAUUAACCCAAAGAGAAAAUACAAGAGUGGUGUUUAAACCAAAGAUAAAAUAAAGUGGCACUUAAACCAAAGAGAAAAAUAAGAGUGGUGUUUAAACCAAAGAGUAUGGCGUUUAACCAAUAACUGGUGAUUAUCCAAGGAGAAAACAAAAGUGGUGUUUAAACCAGGAGUGUGGUAUUUAAGCAAUAAUUGGCGAUUAGCCAAGGUAGAGUUGUAGGAUUUUUCCUAGAUCGAGAAUAAAGACCUAUAAAUAGGGGGUUUUCCUAAGCAUUGGGCCUGACAAGGAAAAUAUGCAUGAAAAGGGGUUUUAACCAUAAGAAGGUGAUUAACCCAUGCAGGAGGUAUUUAACCAAUAACUAGUGAUUAAACUCAAGUGUUGUGUGUGGUUCAGAGAUGUGUGUUUAACCUAGAGAAUGUGAUUAACCCAUGUAGGAGGUGAUUAACCAAGAGUAGGUUAUUAACCUCAAGAGUUAUGUAUAUUCAAAGAUAAUUGUGUUUGAUCGAAAGAGAAAGGUAUAAUUUAUGGGGAUUGUUGAAGUGUUGUCUGUGGGGAAGAAAGUUUGAAAGUUGUUUGAUUUGAAUUACACUAAAGUCUAUGAAUGGGGGUGAAUUCUUUGAAUAACUGGGGCAUUUGUCUCGUAUCUAAAGGUAUUCAUAACAAGGGUAGGAAAUAUCCCUCUCAUUUUUUUCCAUUGCUUAAGACUUGUGGCACACAAGUCACAUCGUAACUAACAGGUGUUUUGAAAGAGAAGAGUCUUUUUGUUUGUUUUGAAAAGGGUGAGGCAAUGUGAUUGAAUGGAUGAAGCUCGACAUGAUCAUGUCUUGAUGUUCUUCCUUCUUCAUGAUGUCCUGAAUGUGAAUGAUGAGUUGACUUUAUAGGUCAAGUUUAAUGCAAGUGUAAAAACCUAAUUAAAUCAAGUGAUCAAGGGACUUUUGGUCACUUGAAUGAAUAAGGAUCUUGAGGGGAGCAUGCCAUUGUUAAUGAAAAGUCAUACAAGUCUAAUACUAAAUGUAAUUAAUUAACCAAUAAUGAACUUGACCAACUAAUCAAGGGGAUGAACAUUCCAAGAAUCAUACACUAAACACAUGAAAAUAUGAUAAAGAAAACAAUGGAUUAAAAAUUGAAAUUAAUCAAGGUUAAUCCAAAUAUCUAAUGUGUUCCUAAUUAAAACAAAAGGGGAUUAAAUUAUAACUAAAAUGAAUCCAAUCUAAUUAAAAUAUAAUGAGAGGGAGCAUGAUGUUUUUUAUGUAUAACAAAAAAAGAAAAGGAUUAAAAGAGUAAGAAAAAAACAAUUCAAUAAUAAAUAAAUAAAACACUCUGCAGGGGGUGUAUUGCUAAAACAAUGGGUUUGAUCAGUAAAAGGCGUUCGGACUAGCAUUGAAGGCUCGUGAUUGUUUGAGUCUUGUUUCAGAGAGAGGAUGUGUGUAAGAAACCCUAGGGUGUGUGGCAGUAAAGCCCAUUGGGCUUAGUGGCUUGAAGGCCCAACGCUAAUGGGAAAAGGGUGAAUGAAUCAGAAUCAUCACCUCAUUUCAUUUUCACACUUCAACCACGCUUCUCUCCCUCUCUUAUGAAGAAUCUCAUCGAAAAUAGCUCUGCCGUGCCGGAGGCGGCUGAGCAACCCAGUUCACCCUAAAACCACCACCAAUCUGCUUGUUUCUUCCUCCUCCUUCCAUUUCUCAACUCCAAUUCACCUAGAUUUCAAAGAAAUCUCCAAACCACAAAAAAGAACACAAGAACCCUAAAACACAUAUACAAAAUUAAAUGGUCAUGGAGGGGAAUCAAAGCAAGAAACCUUGGGGCUUUAAUUCCCCUCGUCUUUCUCUACAUCUUGGCAUCACAUUUGAAGCGAAACAAAAGAGUCAAGUGAAAUAUCUUACUUGCAAGGCAGAGGUUCACCCCCUGGUGAUUGCUGAAGAUUGAAGAAGAAGAUUAUGAAGAGAAAACCAGAGAUAUUAACAGGUAUGUACUUCGAUGCUCCAACCUUUCCUUGGAAUAAUUUAUUCUUCUUCUUCUCUUGAACAUAGUCUGUAGGAACUUAAGAAUUUAUGUUGUUGCUAAUGCAUAUAGAGAGUAGAGAGUGUAGAGAGUGUGGCUUCAACUCAGUUGAAGUAAACUUUAGUGUGAAGUUUUCUCAACAACGGCGGAUUGGAGAUUUGUGUAUUGGUGAGGGAGAAGAGAGAUUGAAGAUAAAUUCAGGGUGGAGAUUCAGAGUGAGUGGUUAAAGAUGAUUGAAGAUGAAUUGGUGGUUAUAGAGACAUUGAAGUGGAAUGAGUUUGGUAACUGUUUAGGGCAGAGUUUAGGGCAGGUGAGUUGAAGGUUAGGUCAGGUGUUAGUUUGGAUGGAGAUUAGUUAAUUAGUGAGAAAAGUUGUUAGGAGGUUUAACAUUGUUAGUUUGGUGGUUAAUGAGUUGAAAAUUUAGUUAGGGUAGUUAUGAAUUGUUAUGGUUGUUAUGGAUUUGUUUAGUAGGUUAGUUGGAAUUGUUUGUUUGAAUGUUAGUGAUCUCAAAACUGUGACAGUUAGGUUAGUUAGGUAAGUGGUUAGUGAAAUAUGUUAGGUUAGUUAUUGAGUAUGUUUUGAAAUUAAAACUGUUAUGAUGUAGGUUAUGAGACUGAGUUAGAACUUCUAUGACAAUUACAAUUUGUGGUGUUAGACAGUUAGAAAUUAAUUUGUUUAGUGAAUAUCCUUUUUAAUUGUUAGUGCAAAUGUGAAAUUAUGAAUGUUGAAUUGCUUGUACUGUUAUUGUUGUUGUAUUGACUGAUAUUAGUUGGAAGCUUCAAUGAAAACUAUUAAUGAAUUCGUGUAGAAAUAAUAUUGGUUAGGAGGUUAUGUUGGAAAUGUAUGAUUGAAUUGGUUAGCUUUUAGAUAGUUCAUUGCUUGAAUUGUUAUGUGAAUUGUUUGAACUAAAUUAGUGUCUUUAGUUAAAAGUUGAUUAAUGCUAGAAGUUUAGAAAAAUAAAAGGUUAAGCUUAUGUUGUUAGCUAGUGAUGAAUCAAGUUAAUUUGUUAGUGAAUUUGGAUGGACUGUUAAAAGCAAGUGCAUUGUCAAAACAUGAUCAAAUUAGUAAUGUGGAAUUAUUAGAUGGUUAGAGUUUUGGAACUGCUAUGUCAUGUUAGUAAGCAUGUUAGUGGGAUUUAAGUGGAUUGGCUUAUGAGUUUAGUGGCAUUGGUGUGUGUUGAAUGUGUGUGUAUGUAUUGAAUGGAUGUCAUGGUUAUACUAGGUAUGAAGCAUAAUUGAGUUAUGUGAAUGUGUCCUUAUAAUUCUAAAUGGUGCAGGGCUGAAGUGCAUAUGGUGGAGUGAACAAGACUUAGAUUGAAGAUAGCAUCAUCAAGAUUGGCAUGGCAUGCAUAGCAUGGCAUCAUGGUGAUGGAGUUUUGUCAUAUUGUGAAGAAAUUGGAAUUCAUCAAGAACAUGGAGGAUUUGAAGAAUAUUGAAGGCAUAAAUGGAGGAUCAAUAAGGAAGAAGAUCAAAGUAGCCUAGUGUAACACCUCAAAAUUUGCCCUCCUCUUCUUGGGACUAGUUUAGCAUAUUGCAUUUCAUGUUUUAGGACAUUAGGCAUUCGCAUAUUGCAUAUCAUAUGGAAUAAGAUAUCAUCCUCUAAUGUCUUGUUCAGAAGAUGGAGGUGGUAUAUGGUUCAAGCCUGAGGGUCUUAUUGAAUUGAUGAUCAACCAUCUGAGGGAAACGUCACGUAAUCCCAAAGAACUAGGAAGUUUCCAUGAGCAGUGUCUUGAUUGCAAGGGUAUAUUACCAUCAUCAUGGUUAUGUCAUCCUCAAGGGCUUCACUGUGCAUGCUCAAGUUCCUUGGGGUUAGGGUUUUGACCUCUGGUCAACCCUAAUCAAUGCAUUCUUCCAGUCAGGGUUUAUCAAGGAGAUGAGGUAUUUGUUGAUGAUGAAGAUCACAUGGUUAAAUGGAGAGCUUAUAUGGGCUAGGGGUUUCAUUUCUGAGCCAAUUCCUCAAGUGGUGGAGGUUCAAGGUCAUCAGUGCAUUGCCAAGUCAUCUGGCGCCCAUAAAAGUUAACUGAAAGCUAGGAGGUGGAGAAAUGAGUAUCAAAACUUCAUUCAUGUCCAAAAGAGGUUUGUUCAUCAUGUCAAACAUCAAUCUUGAAGAAUUUGAAGCCAGAUCAAAAGUUUCCCAAAAUGAAAAGUGACCUGUAAUUGAAAGUUUCCAAAAAUGGAAAGAUUUUGGUUCAAAUUCAACUUGACUUUCCAACAUCAAAGAAGCUUCAAAUGAACUUUUGGUGUACAUGAAAGUUGAAGAUCUUUCUCUCCUCUUUCCAAAAAGUCCUAUUUCAUGGAUUUAUGAUGAAUGUUGAGAAGUUAUGAUCCAAUGAUUGCAAAGUGUGCAGGAACUUCAACAUGGCAUAACUUUUGACUCAAAACCCAAAUGAAGCCACUUCUUUUGCAAAAUUCUUGUCUGACCUAUAUUUCCAAAUCUUCAUUGCAUUGCAUGAAAUUAAUCACAUGAUCAUUUGUUCAUGCAUGUUCAUUUUGGAGCGAAAGUGAAAUUCAAAUUUGGUGCAAGCUACAAACAUAAUCCAAUCCCAUUGUGUUCUUAGGUGAUUUGAGUGAAUGUGAAGAUUGCAUGCUACUGUUCACGUGUGAAUUUGCCAUGCACCACACACUUUUCAAUUUUGUCAUGCACCUCAUUAUUUGAUUAACUUUUCAUUAACCAUGCUUAAUGAAUUUUCAGCAUGAUUACACAUAGUAUAAGCUUAAUCAUAACAAAUUGUUCAUAACAUCACAUUCUAGAUUCUCAAAUUUGCUUUCCCUCCAUUUUUGCUCUCAUUUCAUAAUUCAAUUUAUUUCACAUAACAUUCUUGAUUUUAUGCAUCAUCAUGAUCACUAAGCUUCAUUGAGUAUGAUCAAGCUUUGGAUUUGAAGAAUUGAGCCAGAAUCAAGCACAUAAGCUCAAGAACAUGAAGAUGGAAGUUUGCAAUUCUGAUCAAGAUCCCAGCCAUUUCAAGCUUCAAUCGUGGCCAAACUUCAAUAUACAAGUGAUAGAGGAGAUCUGGACAUUGCUAGGCCUGAUAUACGUUGUUUCCUCAUUCUCUUCAAGAGGUUGGAAAUUCGAAACUCUUGAUUCUUCUUUUUAUUGCAUAAGACGUUGUAGAGCUUUUCAUGCUGAGAAUUCUGAUAUAGAUUUCAUGGAAAAUGGAUGAAUAUUGGUUGAGUUAUGUUGAUUUGAAGUUUGUGUGUUAAAAAUGUUUUCAAUCGAUUUACAUGAACCAUGGACUUUUAGACUUAAUUAAUGUUGGAUUCGUGUUGUACAUGAGAUAAGUUUUCGUUUGUAUUAAGCCAUGCGCGUUUCUGGAUUUUUUUUUGGUGUUCAUCACUGUAGCUCCGCCGUUCCAAUGAAGAAGACGGUGGAAACCACCGUCCCUCCACCGCGCGUGAAUAGUGUGCGUGCUUCCUGGUUCAAGCGCCUAGGGCUCACUGUUUGAGCGCCUGUCACCAAUGUGUCUCGUGUUCGAUUCCACCUUGCCAUGCAUUUUUUUCAUUUCAUUUGUUUUCCAAUUUUGAAACGGCUGCGUUUUGAUCCUAGCGCGCCAUACCUCCAUUCGAUUCCCGGCUCCAACACUUUUUGUGAUUUAUUUCUUCAGCGCCUUCUAUUUUUUCAUGUACAUGGUUCGAUUCCCACUGACACCAUAUUUUCAAAUUCUAUCAACCUUUUCCAUUUCCCUCCAAUUAUCAUAUGAUUUGCUUCAUUUUAUUUCAAUAUUUUCAUUCAAUUUGCAAAAAUCAUAACAAAUAGAAAAUGAAUCCAAAUCACUUCCAAUUUUUUGCUACAUGUUCAUAUGGAUGCCUAUUAUUUUGUGGUUGUGAUUUCUUGAUUUUAUCAUUUCUGGAUUUUUAAUUGUGGACUGUUAUUUGAACAUGAUGCAAAAUGUGACAUGUUAUACCAAUUCUUUUGUGAAAUGCUCAUACAUUUUCCAAUUGAUUUGAAAUUUGAUAUGCUGAUUCCCAACAUGUUGCUUGAUUUUUGAGUCUUGGUUGUGCAUUUUUAUCAUUCUUCAUCUCUGUUUUAGACACAUGAAUGUAUGGUGUGACAAUGUGUGUCACACAUUUUGAUGUUGCUCUUGUUCAUUUUCAUAUACAUGUCAAUUGAGCUUUUCUGAUUCCAAUUUUUUGCAUGAUGCUUGUGUUUAACAUGUUGUAUGCACAUAAAAAUUUCCAUGGUUAUUUGACUCAUUUCUGUUUUAAUAUGGAAUUUCUACUCUUAAUGUCCAAUUGUGUGCUUUGUAAUUGCCUUUGCCUUAUUUUGUGCUUUAGAUGGCUCUUCUUAUUGAUUUGAGUUUGAUCCUUUUUAGGACAUGUUCUUACAUGAAUAAAUAUGCUUCAUGUUGAAUAUUGGUUGCUGUUUUGACUUUUUGCUUUACCUUUGACCCUAGUCUUGGUACUAGUGGUUUGUACUCACCUUUUGAGCUUUGCAUUUCAAGUUCAAGCUUCUAGUCUUAAUGGUUGAUGCAAUCUCAUGACUUGAGAUGCAAAUCUGCUUUAUCCACUAACCUUUGUUGUGUUGUAGGUUCCUUGGUGAUGAACUCACUUGAGUUGUUGAUUUGUUGACUUGCCUUGUGUGCAUAUUGGUUGUAACAUUGUUGACUGUUUGUUGGAUUUGUCUGAAUGUGAAUAUUGACUUGUUUGACUUUGUUACAGGUACUUUAGUCGCUUUAGCUCAUUGCUUGAGCUUUGCUUUGCUUGUGGUUGGUAUACCACUAAGGUAACCUCUCUAACUCCAUGUAGUCUGGAAGCCCUGUCGCUUUUUUGGCAGGCGUUUGGCUGAAGUCCUCCUUAAGAGGCAAUGACUGUGUUUGUUUACAUUUGUGCUGUUACUUGUUAAAGUCCAGUAGUCUGGAAGCCCUGUCGCUUUUUUGGCAGGCGUUUGGCUGAAGUCCUCCUUAAGAGGCAAUGACUGUGUUUGUUUACAUUUGUGCUGUUACUUGUUAAAGUCCUCCUAAGUGAAGAGGCAAUUGGCAGAUAGAAGCGAUUAGCAAUCAAUCCCCUGCUAAUCGUUUGAGUCGUUCAUUAAGCUCGCACUACGUGCUGAUGCUCUUGAACCUAACCCAAGAUCUUUGUAUAUAGAGUCAGUCAAGUGGAGUAGGGUCCCACAUUCUGGAUCCCCAUGUUUUCAUUUAUUCAAGCUCACCCAGGCCAGGGUUAAGAGCUAUGAGGUCCAACCCUCAUUACCUUUCAUCUUCUCACCCUGACGGUCAAUGUCAGUGGUUAAGAGCCUCAGACACCCCUUCCAGUGUUGGCUUGUUUGUCGAGGUUGAUAUGACCCCUUGACUAAAGCCCAACCUUAUAUGAGCCGCUUGUGUGCAUAUAGAAUGUGAUGAUUGCUUUUAAUGUUUAUCUGCUUUUGCUUCUCAUCUCCUUUCUGUAGGAGUCGUAUGAUCAACUUUCGAGGAAGUUGAACGUACGUAGAGAUAGACUUGAGUUGACUCACUACCUGUGUGAGUCAAACUCUUGUUAGAGACCUCAACCUAGGGUUAUAAUUUGCAUGAUGACUAUUAGGCUCGAGUCAGUCUCUCUUUUAGUCUGUUAUUCCCUUGGUCUCUGGUUAGGAGAAAGUUUCUCCCCUGUUAAGGGGAACUACGUUGCCCUGAUCCUCAUACCAGAUGAGGUACGUAGGCAGGAGAUCGUGCGAGAUCUCUCCGGGCACCCUUUUUCUUUUUUGCGUGUGUUUUGCUUGACAACUACUAGGCUCGAUUUCAGACUCCCUUUUAGUUUGUCAAUUGGAGAACCUUUGGUGUUCGCUGGUUAGCGAUUACUUAUUUGUUUGGAGUCGGAUGUAAGUCCAGGUUUGGCAUUCUGUUUCCUGGUUUGUUUGUGUUUGGAGUCGGAUGUAAGUCCAGGUUUGGCGUUCAGUUUCCUUGUGCUGUUUGUUUGGAGUCGGAUGUAAGCCCAGCUAUUGGCAUUCCGUUUCCUUGUUGAGUUUCUUUUGACGUCUCAGCGUCUUUGUGUUGUGUUUUGUUUCGGCGUGCGUUAGCCGAACUACGACAUCUCUGAUUCUCAUUCCAGAUGAGAUACGUAGGCAUAGGAUGCGAUAUCCUAGCGAGCCCGUUUCCCCUUGUCCCCGAACUACGUCGACUCUGAUGUUUGUGUCUGACAAACUACGUAGGCCCAGGAUGUGACAUCCUGCCGAGUCCCCUUCCUCCAUCUUCUUUCACCUUUUUGCUUAUUCCAGUGUGUGUGCAUUCUUUGAGCAGUUUUUCAGCAACCUUUUUCUAUUCUUUUGAGCGUGGAUCCCGUCGAGUACGACGGACGUGAGGGGCGCUAAUACCUUCCCCUUGCGUAACCGACUCUCGUACCUUGCAAUCUCUGGUCGUAAGACCAUUCCUUUCCCUUUUUCAGGUUUACUUCGAGCGUUUCCUUUCCCUCCUUUGGGAUAAAUAACGCACGAGGUCGUAAGACCAUUCCUUUCCCUUUUUCAGGUUUACUUCGAGCGUUUCCUUUCCCUCCUUUGGGAUAAAUAACGCACGGUGGCGGCUCUGUGUCUUUUCCCGCCGGUUGUUUUUCGUGUUGCGACAGUUGGCGACUCUGCUGGGGAAUAAUAAGAAGUUGACCUCUGACUGGUCCAUCUUCCCUAAGCUAGUCGAUCCUAGCGCUCUUUAGGAUAAUUUUGGUUGCUUUUGCUGCUCUAUUUAUUGCAUUUAUGAUUAUUAUACUAUGAUUGUAUAUAUUUGUAUAUGUGUUUGCAUGCAUCAUAUUAUCAUUGUGCUGGACUUUGUACAGGUUGGUUCCUCUGAUUUGGGGUGGGUGUUCUGAGUGGGGCUAAAACCCAGACCCGAGUAUACACCUAGGAUUAGCGUGGUCUCACGUUCUUUCCCGGAUCUUUGGUUUAGAUGAUCUUAUGAGAGCUGCAACGGCACACCCGAAAGGGCAAACCCGUUAAGUAUCUUGUCCGAUUGUCGAGACCAUUAUCCGCCUUAGGAUGACCUUGUUAGAAUUCACCUGUGAGGGGAGGGUUUGAUUCCUGCAGAUGCAUGUUCUGAUGGUGACUUUCUGAUGGUGACUAUUGGUUCAGUUUUGAGCUCGGUCCUAUGUGUGAGGCGGAUUUAUGGAUUUAUUUCUGAGAUGCCGGAGUUCUGUCCGUGGUAUUUAUCAGUGGGGAUCCGUUUAUUUCAGGAUUCCCUGGGUUGGUACAGAUGAUUUUGUUGUUAUCAGAUCAGUGGUUUUCCAGUGAUGAUGGUGAUAUAUCCUUCGGUUCCGUUUAUUUCGGAACUCUGAGUUGGAUUUAUGGUUGCUCAGUACCUCAGAUGGUUGUGAUUAGUUUAGAGACCAGGGCUUCCAUGCAGUGGAUGUUCAGAUGACUUGGAGGAUGGCAUAGUGCAUUGCAUUCAUACAUCAACAUCAUUCCCAUCUUGCAUUUAUCCACAUCUAACUCAUGUUUAUCCAUAUGCAGGGGACAUUCUUGAUUGAAAUCCUGGUUGAGAGACUUCUUUGCUCCAGAUAUGAGGCCCGACUUGAAGAAUGAUGUUGUAUACAGUUUCUUUGAUCCAGAGAUUGAUGCACUGAAAGAGAUGAUAGCAUUGAUUACACCUGACCAUGUGGGGAUGUUCCGUGAGGCUUAUGGACUUGAAGAAUGAUGUUGUAUACAGUUUCUUUGAUCCAGAGAUUGAUGCACUGAAAGAGAUGAUAGCAUUGAUUACACCUGACCAUGUGGGGAUGUUCCGUGAGGCUUAUGGGGGUAUUCUGAAGGUGUUUUUCAGGCUUACAGAUGAUGAUAGGAGCGUCAUCCAUACUCUUCUCCAGUUUUAUGACCCUGGUUUGAGAUGUUUCAUCUUCCUGGAUUACCUGUUGGGACCUUUGAUGGAAGACUAUGCCAGUAUCCUGGGUAUUCAGGUCAGGAACCAGAUUCCAUUCUAUGUCACUAAGGAUGAACCUGAUGUUGCUGAGAUCUCUCGUGCUCUUUAUUUGAUCCCAGAAGUGACUAAGGGGGGUUUGAAGGAGAAGGGAAAGUUGCCUGGUUUUCAUUUGAGUUUCUUGGAGGCCAAAGCCAAGGAGCAUGUUGUUUUAGGUGAUUGGAAGGUUGUCUGUGCUCUGCUUGCUGUGAGCAUUUAUGGAAUCAUCUUGUUCCCUAAUCAGAAGAACUUUGUAGACAUUAAUGCCAUCCGGGUGUUUGCGCAGAGGAAUCCUAUUCCUACCUUGGUUGGGGAUGUCUAUUACUCGGUCCAUAAUCGGAACGAGAAGCGGCGUGGUGGAUUGAUCAGAUGUUAUGCUCAACUAUUACACAAAUGGUCCAUGGGAUAUUUGCCUUCCAGAGGUGCCUUUGUCUUUCUUGACCAUACUGUGAAUUGGGCGACCAAACUGAUGGGUUUGCGAGCCAAGGACAUAGCUUGGACUCACAAUGGUGUGGCGGGACGAGACUUCAUUUACAGUUGUGGGAGCUUUCCCAAUGUGCCUCUCAUAGGAGUUCAGGGUUGCAUUAAUUACGACCCGACGCUUCUUAGGAGACAAAUGGGGUUUGCUAUGGAGGUUCCUCCUCUCGAGUGUGAGAUUCAGGAGUCUUUCUAUUUCCCGGCUGAGGGUAAUCCGACACGGUUGAGGCAAGUGUCUGGAGCAUGGCGUAACAUUCAGAGAAAGGGCAAGGUUCCUUUUGGUAGGGUUAAUAAUAGGUCUUUUCCUCUGUUUGAUGAUUGGCUCAGAAAGAGGAUUGAGCUCACGCAUCUACCAUUUCCUGGGGGUGAUCCUUGGUAUCCAUUGAUUGAGGGGCCAUGUUCUUCUGUCAGUAUGGAAGAAUUCCUUGAGAUGAAGAGGGAGAGAGAUCAACUACAGGCAGAGAAGAUUGAGUUGGAAAUGAGUGUUGCUAGAAUCCAAAUGGCUAAUCAGGAAAUCAAAGGGAAAAUAGAAGACCAGGAUAAGAGGCAUGCCUUGGAGGUGAAGCGCUUUGAGAUAGACACCGCCUAUUACUGCAAGAUCAGCCAAGCUUUGAAGUCAUCUACAAAGGAGCACGAUAUCACCAAGGAGAAGUUGGCUAGAGCUUUGAGAGUCAUUGAAGAUGAGAAGAAGAGACAGGUCCUUGUGAAGACUCAGAGGGAAGCCAAAGUCAAAGUCCUUAUCGCCGAGUGGGAAGCAAAGCUGAAGGUUAAGGAAGAAGAGAACGCGAAGAUUAUUGCUGAGAGAGAUCACUAUCUUGCUGAGAGGGACCAUUAUUUCCGACAGAUGAAGAUUCACCAGAAGGAGGUGGGGAGACUGCAGCAGGAGAACACUGAGCUCAGGUUCGCCGUGAAGUUUACCAAGAUGGUUGAUGAUGCAGAGCCGUCUAUGGGACCUUCUUCAGUGUAGACUUUUGUUGUUAUGUGUGGAUUACCGUCAGGCAUGUUGACGGAAUUCACGUGCUUGUAUUUUCUUUCUGAUUCUGGAGAAUUGUAAUUUGAUUUGUAUCAGCCUGAUGUAUGACUCUCGCACGUACUGUGCGCUUUUGAUAUACAAUGGUUGUUAUCAUUCGGUGAUCGAUCUUCAAGCUUUAUUUGCUUUCUGUGCACUCACAUAAUACACACAUGGUCGGGUGAUAUCUUUGCUAAAUCAUAACUCUCUGCUCUGUAUGGUGAAACCAGAUGAUUGAUGCCAAAUUGUUGCUGGCGAAUUAUUAUCUGUCUCGACGAAACCAGGAUCAAAAGACAGAGUGUUCCUCAUAUGGAUAGACAUUGCAUUCAUGCGUGAGUCAUAAUAACCUGUCUUCUGUUUUGCAGGUGUCAGUUUCUAACAUGUUUGAUUGACUCAGGAACGAUGAAUCCACCCAACGCUGACAUUCUCGAGCUGAAAGAGAAGAUGAGUGAGCUGAUCAGUGUCAUGCAAGAGUUCGCCUUGGGGCAGAAAGCAAUCGCCGAGAAGGUGGAGAGGAUUGAGAGCUGGCUGAAGAUGGGGAAGAUACAAGGAAAUGCUUCGUCGUCUGGAGUAAAGAAGCCCUUUGGCGAUGGUCAGCGCGAGAAGGAGGUUGAAUCAAGUGAUGUGUCUGCCCAAAGGGGACGCGGUAGCGAUCGUUAUCACCCGUAUGCUGCUACAGUAAUGAUUCCUGCUGGUAAUCAAUCUGUACGACAGUAACAGCAGCCACCUCAACAAAGAACACAAAGAGUUGGGUGUCAAGCGAGAAGAAGGAUGACUGAUCGUCAGUUUGAUAAGCCACCCAUGGCGUAUGCUCUUCUGUUUAAGAGGUUGAAGGACCUUGGGUUGGUUCAACCGAGGACGUUGGCUCCGGUAGGAUCAUACCAAAGGCUUGCAGGUUACAAUGAGAACAUCAAGUGCGAGUUCCAUUCUGGUGCACCCGGGCAUAGCAUUGAGGGUUGUAAAGCUUUUAAGCAUGUCGUUCAAGAUUUGGUGGAUUCUAAAGCCAUCAAUUUUGCACCGACACCGAAUGUUAAUGCUAACCCCAUGCCGGUGCAGGGUCCUAUGGGGGUGAACGUGAUGUCAGAAGAUAAGAGAAAAAUAGAGGUGACAGAUGUGGAUCAGUUGAGGACUCCAAUGUCUGUGGUCAAGAGACAUUUGAUGAAGAAUGGAGUUUUCCCUGGCUGUGAUAAUUGUUGUGCUGCUUGCACUGUCACUACGAAUGGGUGUGUGAUGUUGAGGGAGACGAUUCAGAGAGUGAUGGAUAGGGGACGUCUCCGAUUUGAGAAAGUUGAUUGGGGGGAAGAAAAUAUCUUUGUCAACCAACUGUCAUCGUUCAAAUAUGUGGAAAUGGACGGUGAAAUAUGGGAAACACCGAGCCAGGCAUUCGAAACCGUCAAGGUGGAGAAUGUUGUUUUUGUCAAAGAAGAGAAGAAGCCGUUCAUUUCUUCGUAUAAGCAGGCCACCGAGGUGGUAAAGAGUGGAGAAGCCCCAGGUUGGGGGAGGAUGAUUGAUAUCGCCGCCAAAGAAGAUAGGUUUGGGGUUGGUUAUCGAUCGGACCAGGGCUCGUCUGGACAGAGUAGAGUACGUCGUCAACCAUUCACGUUCACCAGUGCUAGAAUGCUGGAUCCAGAUCGCAUCUGUGCGGUGGGUGAAGAGAUCGACAGUGACUGCGAGCUCGAUGGUUGGAUAAAACCGUGCGUACCAGGGAUGGAAGUCCAGAACUGGAAGGCCGAAAAGAUCAUCACUGUCACUCUACGUGAAGAGUAAUAUUUCUGUUUUUCAAUACUGUUUGCAUGAAAGCCAUACGUUUUGCUCGAAACGUAAUGGUUCAUUGUAAGGGCCACCUCAUGUGUUUCAUUUUGCAACAUUUUGCAUCAGUAAUAAAUGGAUGAAAAAGUGUAAUUUUCGCCACAAGGGACAAAAAGUAAAUAAAAACGAGUUUAAAAAUAACAAUAAAAAUGGCAAUGUUUAUUUUCAUUUUUCUUUCCUUUUGAUUGGCUUCGUUCCGACUUUUUUAUUCUCCGGAUCUCAUUGAUAACAAUCCUGUUACACCCUCAUAUGACUUCGACAAUCCGAUCUAUCAUGUCGAAGAAGAAGGCGAAGAAGAUUGUGAACUGCCGGAGGAAUUAACCAGAGUGUUGAAACCAGAGGAGAAGGUGAUUCGACCGCAUGAGGAACGAGUUGAGCUUGUUAACCUGUGUACCGAGGAGGUCAGGAAGGAAGUGAAGGUUGGGGCCGCCUUGGAGGCGAGUGUCAAGAGCGGAGGUGAUGCGAUUCGGUCUCAAGAACGCCGGUGCCACGUAUCAAAGAGCUAUGGUGACUUUGUUUCAUGAUAUGAUUCAUCAUGAAAUCGAAUGCUAUGUUGAUGACAUGAUAGCAAAGUCCCAAACAGAAGAGGGGCAUUUGGAAGACUUGGCCAAGUUGUUUGACCGGUUGAGACAAUUCAAACUGAGGUUGAAUCCAAAUAAGUGCACUUUCGGAGUGCGGUCCGGUAAAUUGCUGGGGUUUAUUGCGAAAAAAAAAAGGAAUUGAGGUUGAUCCUACUAAAGAAAAAGCAAUACAAGAAAUGCCUGAACCGAGAAUAGAGAAGGAGGUUCGUGGUUUCUUAGGUAGAUUGAACUACAUUUCACGGUUCAUAUCUCAUCUAACAGCCACGUGUGAACCCAUAUUCAAAUUGUUGAGAAAAGAUCAAACGGUCAGGUGGAAUAAUGAUUGCCAAACGACAUUUGAAAAGAUAAAAGAGUAUUUGCAGGAGCCUCCGAUUCUGAUGCCUCCUGUGGAGGGACGACCAUUAAUUCUGUACUUGACAGCCCUCGAGGGGUCUAUGGGGUGCGUACUGGGGCAGCAUGACGAGUCUGGUCGAAAAGAGCAUGCAAUUUACCUUAGCAAAAAGUUUACCGACUGUGAAACAAAAUAUUCACUGCUCGAGAAAACUUGUUGUGCUUUGGCAUAGGCUGCUCGCUGACUAAGACAGUAUAUGCUGGUUCAUACCACUUUAUGGAUUUCCAAGAUGGAUCCGAUCAAGUAUGUAUUUAAGAAGCCAACAUUGACCGGACGGGUUGCAAGCUGGCAAAUGAUUUUAACCGAAUACGAUAUUCAGUAUACCUCUCAGAAAGCAAUCAAGGGGAGUGUAUUGUCUGAUUACCUCGCCCAGCAACCCAUUGAGGAUUAUCAACCGAUGAAGUUUGAGUUCCCUGAUGAGGACAUCAUGGUUCUCGAUUCGAAAGAUUAUGAUAAAUCGAUCCCGGAGGAGGGGCCUGACCCCGAAUCCGAACGGAUUCUGAUGUUUGAUGGGGCCGUUAAUAUGAAUGGUCGUGACCUAUGAGGAUUGGCACGAGAUGUUGCCGUUUGCAUUGCACAGGUAUCGAACCUCGGUGCGUACAUCUACUGGGGCAGCGCCUUUCUCACUCGUGUAUGGGAUGGAAGCCGUGCUACCAGUCGAGGUUCAGAUUCCUUCUUUGAGAGUCCCGAUGGACGUGAAACUGGAAAAGGAUGAAUGGGUAAGGACUCGGUACGAAGAGUUGAGCCUGAUUGAGGAAAAGAGGCUGGCAGUCGAUUGUCAUGGGCAGUUGUGCCAGCAGCGAAUGAAGCGUGCUUUUGACAGAAAGGUGCGACCUCGUGUGUAUCACGUGGGAGAUAUGGUGCUGAAAAGGAUCCUUCCUCCUCAGAACGAUCGUAGGGGCAAGUGGACACCCAAUUAUGAAGGUCCGUUCGUGGUCAAGAAGGUUUUCUCUGGCGGAGCCUUGUUGUUGACGACCAUGGAUGGCGAGGAUUAUGGCGAGGAUUUUCCAUCCCCUGUGAAUGCGGACGCAGUUAAAAAAUACUUCGUAUAAGAGACCCGCUGGACGAAAAGAAUAAAAUAGUCCAGGCAAAAAUGGGCAUCCCGGCGAACCAGAAAAAAAAAUGAAAAAGGUUCGGGCAAAAAUUAGGGAUAAAAAGAGAAAAAAACUGUACACCCGGCAAGUAGAAAACCCCGCAAGGGCGACUUGGGCAAAAAAGGGUAUCCCGAUGGACUGAAAACCCGAAAGGGCGAUCCAGGCAAAAGAGGGAUUGAAACGAACAACUGCGUCUAGCAUGAUCGUUUGUGUUUUGGUUAAGACACAUGGAUAAUCCCUGGCAGAGAUCAGUCGGAAAUGUCUUGUUCAGAAGGCAGAAAGCACAGAGAGUCUGAGGACAUGUGGGGUGUAACCGAGUUGGAACUCGAUGAGAUCACGGGUUCACAUUGCCAUUAGGAUAGAUUUUUCCUUUUGUGUGCAAUUACCUCUUUUCAGGGAUUGCUUCCUGUGUAUUGCUCGGUUUUUGAGCCACCUCUUUUCAAUCAAUAAAAUGCAUAUUCAGUCAAAUAAUUUUGUUUUUGGUUUUCAUUACCGCUUUGAGUGCAAAAACAUCCGUUUAUUUUGAUAAAGAAUAUUUGCAUUUUGAGACAUACAGGUCCCUUCCAAUGCAUGUUCAUAAGAUUGAAAGCCUGAAAUCUUAUUCGGAAGAUUGAUAAAGAAUAUUUGCAUUUUGAGACAUACAGGUCCCUUCCAAUGCAUGUUCAUAAGAUUGAAAGCCUGAAAUCUUAUUCGGAAGGUUGAGUGACCUAGGUGUUGAAAUUUUGGCACGCCUGGGGAACGUUUUUAUCUAACGAUCUCUUUUGCAGGUGCUGUUAGAUAUUUUCACUCACUUGCAGGUUGUGAUGUGAAGCUUUUUGACCCCGUGGAGUCCAGUCAGGGACAAGGGAUUGAAGGAUGGUGAAAAGACGGCGAAAGACGUGCGACGAUCCUGGAGGUUUAAUCAAGAAGACUCUUCAAAGUCUGGAAAAGUGGAAAGAUGACACUGGAUUUAGAUGGUGAAUACCAGGGUUCGACGAGUCGACGAGUGUUUCGUGUCAGAUUUUCCUUAUUUCCCCUAGCAGGGUCGGGAUUGUUAUCUCCCCAGCGGGUUCGAGAUCGGUGUUUCCUCGGCAGCCAGGCCUGAAGGUUGUUGUGUCCCCUAGCAGGGUUGAGAUUGUUAUGUCCCCAGCAAGUCGAAGAUUGUUGUUUUCCCCGCAGAGUGCGUUGGUAGCUGUUUCCCUAGCGAAGUCCCCAAGCGGAUCGGGUUUAGUGGAGGUCAUCCCUGGUGAGGGUUGUCCUUUCCCCAGCAGCAGUGUUAUUUCCCGGUAGGUUGGAGAUUUGGAGUGGUACCAGGUUCCUCAGCAGAGUGCCUCGAGCUCCCCAAUAGAGUCCCUUGGAAGGGAUACCUUUUUAUGCAUUCAUCAUUUAGAGAAGCAUAGCAUAUUGCAUACCUUAUUGCGUAGCAUUUCCAUGGUUAUGGAGCAUUACGCUGAAAAAAAUCAUCAUGCAUCGGCAUUGUGAGCAUAAGCUAGUCUCACGCCGUGGUUACCAUUUGAGAAUUGGUUUAGCUGGUUGGUGAAGAUGUUACUCAAGCCGUGGUUACCGUUUGAGAAUUGGUUUAGCUGGUUGGUGAAGAUGUUACUCAAGCCGUGGUUACCGUUUGAGAAUUGGUUUAGCUGGUUGGUGAAGAUGUUACUCAAGCCGUGGUUACCGUUUGAGAUUUGGUUUCGCCGGUUGGUGAAGAUGUUACUCAAGUUGUGGUUACCGUUUGAGAUUUGGUUCCGCCGGAUGGCGAAGAUGUUAUUUUGCGGAGUUUAGCAUCAUGACGUUGGAGCAACAAUGUUCCCCAGUAGUGCGAUGUUGGAGGAAAAUUUUCCGUCGAGCGGAGAUGGAAAUAAAGCUUAAAGAACGUUACGCGAUCAGCACGAAAAUCGAAGAAUGGAGAAAAGGAAGUGUUGCGGCAUUUUCUGGAGAACGGGGUUCAAAUGGAGAUUGGAGUUGAAGAUUAUGUCUGGGAUGAGGUCCUCAGGAUUUUCUUCUGAUCAUGUGUCACCUUAGACUUUGGCGAGGCCAACAGAAGUCGGUAUGGGUGUCUUCGGAGGAAGAAAUGCACAUGUUACCUUCCUUUUGUGAAGGUGUACCCUCUGAUAUGUCGCCAUCAGAGUGGUGUUUUGGUGUUAUUUCCGGUGUUGCCAGUGGAAUUAUCACAAGAAAAUGGAGAACAGGGUUCAAAUGGAGAAAGGGAGACACGGGGUGUUUUCUGGAGAGCGGGGUUCACAACGGCGAUCGCAAGUUAUCGUCAGGCGAUUGGGGUUCAACUAGAGAACAGGGUUCAUGAUUUGGCAAACAAGAGUAAUAUGAAGUGGUCGGGGUUCAAAUGCGGUGAUCAGGGAUCAUACGCGUGAAAGGAAAUAAGUUUCGGGGUUCAAGAAAAACAAAAAAAAAUCAAUCAAAAUCAAUCAGAAAGUUUUGGGGUUCAAGAAAAGCAAAAAGUAUAAUAAUAAUCCCCAGCGGAGCGCAAAUUGUUCGUUUGUUCUUGGUAUUCAAUCACUCUUCACCCUGAUCAUCUGAAAGCCGAGGCUGUUCAUAUCGACAGGUUCACAGUGGAUUGAAUAGGGGUAGCUGUAACACCUCAAAAUUUGCCCUCCUCUUCUUGGGACUAGUUUAGCAUAUUGCAUUUCAUGUUUUAGGACAUUAGGCAUUCGCAUAUUGCAUAUCAUAUGGAAUAAGAGAUCAUCCUCUAAUGUCUUGUUCAGAAGAUGAAGGUGGUAUAUGGUCCAAGCCUGAGGGUCUUAUUGAAUUGAUGAUCAACCAUCUGAGGGUUUGCAGUGCAUUAGGGUUUCUUGAUCCUUCAAAGGUUGAGCAGUGUCUUGAUUGCAAGGGUAUAUUACCAUCAUCAUGGUUAAUUGAUGAUCAACCAUCUGAGGGUUUGCAGUGCAUUAGGGUUUCUUGAUCCUUCAAAGGUUGAGCAGUGUCUUGAUUGCAAGGGUAUAUUACCAUCAUCAUGGUUAUGUCAUCCUCAAGGGCUUCACUAUGCAUGCUCAAGUUCCUUGGGGUUAGGGUUUUGACCUCUGGUCAACCCUAAUCAAUGCAUUCUUCUAGUCAGGGUUUAUCAAGGAGAUGAGGUAUUUGUUGAUGAUGAAGAUCACAUGGUUAUGUGGAGAGUUUAUAUGGGCUAGGGGUUUCAUUUCUGAGCCAAUUCCUCAAGUGGUGGAGGUUCAAGGUCAUCAGUGCAUUGCCAAGUCAUCUAGCGCCCAUAAAAGUCAACUGAAAGCUAGGAGGUGGAGAAAUGAGUCUCAACACUUCAUUCAUGUCCAAAAGAGGUUUAUUCAUCAUGUCAAACAUCAAUCUUGAAGAAUUUGAAGCCAGAUCAAAAGUUUCCCAAAAUGGAAAGUGACCUGUAAUUGAAAGUUUCCAAAAAUGGAAAGAUUUUGGUUCAAAUUCAACUUGACUUUCCAACAUCAAAGAAGCUUCAAAUGAACUUUUGGUGUACAUGAAAGUUGAAGAUCUUUCUCUCCUCUUUCCAAAAAGUCCUAUUUCAUGGAUUUAUGAUGAAUGGUUGAGAAGUUAUGAUCCAAUGAUUGCAAAGUGUGCAUGGAACUUCAACAUGGCAUAACUUUUGACUCAAAACUCCAAAUGAAGCCACUCUUUUUGCAAAAUUCUUGUCUUGACCUAUAUUUUCCAAAUCUAUCAUUGCAUUGCAUGAAAUUUAAUCACAUGAUCAUUUGUUCAUGCAUGUUCAUUUUGGAGGGAAAGUUGAAAAUUCAAAUUUGGUGCAAGCUACAAACAUAAUUCCAAUCCCAUUGUGUUCAUUAGGUGAUUUUGAGUGAAUGUGAAGCAUUGCAUGCUACUGUUCACGUGUGAAUUUGCCAUGCACCACACACUUUUCCAAUUUUGGUCAUGCACCUCAUAUUUGAUUAACUUUUCAUUAACCAUUGCUUAAUUAAUUUUUCAGCAUGAUUAACAUAUAGUAUAAAGCCUUAAUCAUAACAGAAUUGUUCAUAACAUCACAUUCUAGAUCUCAAAUUUGCUUUCCCUCCAUUUUUGCUCUCAUUUCAAAUUUNUGGUUCAAAUUCAACUUGACUUUCCAACAUCAAAGAAGCUUCAAAUGAACUUUUGGUGUACAUGAAAGUUGAAGAUCUUUCUCUCCUCUUUCCAAAAAGUCCUAUUUCAUGGAUUUAUGAUGAAUGGUUGAGAAGUUAUGAUCCAAUGAUUGCAAAGUGUGCAUGGAACUUCAACAUGGCAUAACUUUUGACUCAAAACUCCAAAUGAAGCCACUCUUUUUGCAAAAUUCUUGUCUUGACCUAUAUUUUCCAAAUCUAUCAUUGCAUUGCAUGAAAUUUAAUCACAUGAUCAUUUGUUCAUGCAUGUUCAUUUUGGAGGGAAAGUUGAAAAUUCAAAUUUGGUGCAAGCUACAAACAUAAUUCCAAUCCCAUUGUGUUCAUUAGGUGAUUUUGAGUGAAUGUGAAGCAUUGCAUGCUACUGUUCACGUGUGAAUUUGCCAUGCACCACACACUUUUCCAAUUUUGGUCAUGCACCUCAUAUUUGAUUAACUUUUCAUUAACCAUUGCUUAAUUAAUUUUUCAGCAUGAUUAACAUAUAGUAUAAAGCCUUAAUCAUAACAGAAUUGUUCAUAACAUCACAUUCUAGAUCUCAAAUUUGCUUUCCCUCCAUUUUUGCUCUCAUCUCAAAUUUAAAUUUCUUUCACAUAACACCUUGAUUUUAUUGCAUAAUCAUGAUCACUAAGCUUCAUUGAGUAUGGAUCAAGCUUUGAUUUGAAGAAUUCGAGCCAGAAUCAAGCACAUCAAGCUCAAGAACAUGAAGAUGGAAGUUGCAAUCUGAUCAAGAUCCCAACCAUUUCAAGCUUCAAUUCGUGCCUAAAGCUUCAAUAUACAAGUGAUAGAGGAGAUCUGGACAUUGCUAGGCCUUGAAUACGCUGUUUCCUCAUUCUUCUCUUCAAGAGGUUGGAAAUUCGAAACUCUUGAUUCUUCUUUUUAUGUGCAUAGACUUGUAGAGCUUUUCAUGCUGAGAAUUCUGAUAUAGAUUUCAUGGAAAAUGGAUGAAUAUUGGUUGAGUUAUGUUGAUUUAAAGUUUGUGUGUUAAAAAUGUUUUCAAUCGAUUUACAUGAUCCAUGGACUUUUAGACUUAAUUAAUGCUGGAUUCGUGUUGUACAUGAGAUAAGCUUUCGUUUGAUAUAAGCCAUGCGCGUUUCUGGAUUUUUUUUUUGGUGUUCAUCACUGUAGCUCCGCCGUUCCAAUGAAGAAGACGGUGGAAACCACCGUCCCUCCACCACGCGUGAAUAGUGCGCGUGCUUCCUGGUUCAAGCGCCUAGGGCUUACUGUUUGAGCGCCUGUCACCAAUGUGUCUCGUGUUCGAUUCCACCUUGCCAUGCAAUUUUUUCAUUUCAUUUGUUUUCCAAUUUUGAAACGGCUGCGUUUUGAUCCUAGCGCGCCAUACCUCCAUUCGAUUCCCGGCUCCAACACUUUUGUUAUUUAUUUCUUCAGCGCCUUCUAUUUUUUCAUGUACAUGGUUCGAUUUCCACUGACACCAUAUUUUCAAAUUCUAUCAACCUUUUCCAUUUCCCUCCAAUUAUCAUAUGAUUUGCUUCAUUUUAUUUCAAUAUUUUCAUUCAAUUUGCAAAAAUCAUAACAAAUAGAAAAUAAAUCCAAAUCACUUCCAAUUUUUUGCUACAUGUUCAUAUGGAUGCCUAUUAUUUUGUGGUUGUGAUUUCUUGAUUUUAUCAUUUCUGGAUUUUUAAUUGUGGACUGUUAUUUGAACAUGAUGCAAAAUCGUGACCAUGUUGUACCAAUUCUUUUUGUGAAAUGCUCAUACAUUGUCCAAUUGAUUUGAAAUUUGGUAUGCUGAUUCCCACAUGUUGUUUGAUUUUUGAGUCUUGGUUGUGCAGCUUUUAUCAUUCUUCAUUCUCUUUUUAGACACAUGAUGUAUGGUGUGACAAGUGUGUCACACAUUUUUGAUGUUGCUCUUGUUCAUUUUCAUAUACAUGUCAAUUGAGCUUUUCUGAUUCCAAUUUUUUGCAUGAUGCUUGUGUUUAACAUGUUGUGUGCACAUAAAAAUUUCCAUGGUUAUUUGACUCAUUUCUGCUUUAGUAUGGAAUUUCUACUCUUAAUGUCCAAUUGUGUGCUUUGUAAUUGCCUUUGCCUUAUUUUAUGCUUUAGAUGGCUCUUCUUAUUGAUUUGAGUUUGAUCCUUUUUAGGACAUGUUCUUACUUGAAUAAAUAUGCUUCAUGUUGAAUAUUGGUUGCUGUUUUGACUUUUUGCUUUACCUUUGACCCUAGUCUUGGUACUAGUGGUUUGUACUCACCUUUUGAGCUUUGCAUUUCAGGUUCAAGCUUCUAGUCUUAAUGGUUGAUGCAAUCUCAUGACUUGAGAUGCAAAUCUGCUUUAUCCACUAACCUUUGUUAUGUUGUAGGUUCCUUGGUGAUGAACUCACUUGAGUUGUUGAUUUGUUGACUUGCCUUGUGUGCAUAUUGGUUGUAACACUGUUGACUGUUUGUUGGAUUUGUCUGAAUGUGAAUAUUGACUUGUUUGACUUUCUUACAGGUACUUUAGUCGCUUUAUCUCAUUGCUUGAGCUUUGCUUUGCUUGUGGUUGGUAUACCACUUAGGUAACCUCUCUAACUCCAUGUAGUCUGGAAGCCCUGUCGCUUUUUUGGCAGACGUUUGGCUGAAGUCCUCCUUAAGAGGCAAUGACUGUGUUUGUUUACAUUUGUGCUGUUACUUGUUAAAGUCCUCCUAAGUGAAGAGGCAAUUGGCAGAUAGAAGGGAUUAGCAAUCAAUCCCCUGCUAAUCGUUUGAGUCGUUCAUUAAGCUCGCACUACGUGCUGAUGCUCUUGAACCUAACCCAAGAUCUUUGUAUAUAGAGUCAGUCAAGUGGAGUAGGGUCCCACAUUCUGGAUCCCCACGUUUUCAUUUAUUCAAGCUCACCCAGGCCAGGGUUAAGAGCUAUGAGGUCCAACCCUCAUUACCUUUCAUCUGCUCACCCUGACGGUCAAUGUCAGUGGUUAAGAGACUCAGACACCCCUUCCAGUGUUGGCUUGUUUGUCGAGGUUGAUAUGACCCCUUGACUAAAGCCCAGCCUUAUAUGAGCCGCUUGUGUGCAUAUAGAAUGUGAUGAUUGCUUUUGAUGUUUAUCUGCUUUUUCUUCUCAUCUCCUUUCUGUAGGAGUCGUAUGAUCAACUUUCGAGGAAGUUGAACGUACGUAGAGAUAGACUUGAGUUGACUCACUGCCUGUGUGAGUCAAACUCUUGUUAGACGACCUCAACCUAGGGUAUAAUUGCAUGAUGACUAUUAGGCUCGAGUCAGUCUCCCUUUUAGUCCCGUGUAUUCCCUUGGUCUCUGGUUAGGAGAAAGUUUCUCCCGUUAAGGGGAACUACGUUCCCUGAUCCUCAUACCAGAUGAGGUACGUAGGCGAGAUUGCGAGAUCUCUCCGGGCACCCUUUUUCUUUUUUGCGUGUGUUUUGCUUGACAACUACUAGGCUCGAUUUCAGACUCCCUUUUAGUUUGUCAAUUGGAGAACCUUUGGUGUUCGCUGGUUAGCGAUUGCUUAUUUGUUUGGAGUCGGAUGUAAGUCCAGGUUUGGCAUUCUGUUUCCUGGUUUGUUUGUGUUUGGAGUCGGAUGUAAGUCCAGGUUUGGCAUUCAGUUUCCUUGUGCUGUUUGUUUGGAGUCGGAUGUAAGCCCAGCUAUUGGCAUUCUGUUUCCUUGUUGAAUUUCUUUUGACGUCUCAGCGUCUUUGUGUUGUGUUUUGUUUCGGCGUGCGUUAGCCGAACUACGACAGCUCUGAUUCUCAUUCCAGAUGAGAUACGUAGGCAUAGGAUGCGAUAUCCUAGAGAGCCCGUUUCCCCUUGUCCCCGAACUACGUCGACUCUGAUGUUUGUGUCUGACAAACUACGUAGGCCCAGGAUGCGACAUCCUGCCGAGUCCCCUUCCUCCAUCUUCUUUCACCUUUUUGCUUAUUCCAGUGUGUGUGCAUUCUUUGAGCAGUUUUUCAGCAACCUUUUUCUAUUCUUUUGAGCAUGGAUCCCGUCGAGUACGAAGGACGUGAGGGUUACUAAUACCUUCCCCUUGCGUAACCGACUCCCGUACCUUGCAAUCUCUGGUCGUAAGACCAUUCCUUUCCCUUUUUCAGGUUUACUUCGAGCGUUUCCUUUCCCUCCUUUGGGAUAAAUAACGCACAGGUCGUAAGACCAUUCCUUUCCCUUUUUCAGGUUUACUUCGAGCGUUUCCUUUCCCUCCUUUGGGAUAAAUAACGCACGGUGGCGGCUCUGUGUCUUUUCCCGCCGGUUGUUUUUCGUGUUGCGACACCUAGGGUUAUUUUGACCUUGGUCAAUUGUUUGACCAAAAGUCAACAGUUGCCCAAAAGUCAACCUAAGGUCAAAUAUGACUUUUUGUGUAAUUUUGUACGUUUUAUUUUUUUUAAUGAAACUUUUGAUGUGGUAAUGCGAUUUUUGGCCUUUGAAAAUGUACUUGUAACUUGUAUUCGAAGCUAUAUUGUUCCCUCUAAAGUUGAAUUUGAAUUUGAAUUUGAACUUGAACUUGAUUUGAAUGAACUUUGAAUUUGCAAUGUUAUGUCUUGAAUACAAAAACAAAUAGCCAAACAACUAAAAAUGUAAGACCUCAAAAGAGAAUGGUUAUAAAAAGUCAAUCUUCCAUGGUUGACUUUUGUUGACCAAAGUCAAACUUGAAAAGUAACCUCUAAACCCAAAUGCCACGAUGUAGUCAACAUGAUCCAAAAUGCGUAGACCAAUAUUAUGGUUUCUUAAAGACUUAAUCCAAGACCAAUGAUUAAUAAAAGUUUUGUUGUGCCCACAGCCAAAAGGUCCAGAAGCACAUUGAACAUAGGCCCGCAAACCAUAAUUUAGUGCCUUGUAUCUUAAGAAGAAACCUUUUGAUCAAUGAUAUCAUUUGAAAAAUGCAAUUGUAAAUGAAUGAUCUACAUGACUAUGAGUAUGUAGAUGAACCAUGGUCCAAGGAUAAAAUGAAAAGAAAAAGGUAGGGCAAAUUUUGGGGUAUGACAUGAUUCUGGAGACAACAUGCGGAAAGCGAGCAGACUCCAUGGCGAUUGAAGUCAGUUACCUCAUUGUAGGUGCCAUGUCGCCCUACAAUAUAAUCCUACAUAUACCAUCCAUCAAUGCGUUGAAGGAGAUUAUUUCCACCCGAUAUCUGGUUCUAAAAUACCCGCUUCCUGGAGAGCGAAUCAGGACAAUUCAAGGAGACCAACAAAGUGCUCAAGAGUGUUAUCAGAGCUACCUGAAGAAUGAGAGGGAAGAGCUCUACCUUAUGGGUGCCCUAGAUCUGGUAACCUCUUACUUCCUUUAAUGCAUUCCAUUGCUUGCCUUUGCAUACAUAUAUAUAUAUAUAUAUAUUAUAUAUAUAUAUAUAUAUAUAUAUAUAUAUAUAUAUAUAUAUAUAUAUAUAUAUAUAUAUAUAUAUAUAUAUAUAUAUAUAUAUAUAUUUAUAUUAUAUAUAUAUAUAUAAUAUAUAUAUAUAUAUAUAUAUAUAUAUAUAUAUAUAUAGUAUAAUAUAUAUUAUAUAUAUAUGAACGAAUAGUCUCAUUAGCUUGCCUAGCGAUUCUGAGAGCGAUGAGUCUCCCGUAGUUAGGGUGGCAAUAUCUUUUGGUUCAAACACUUCCUCCUUGAUCAUUGAUUAACUGGGUCAUGAGGUAAUAUCUAUAAUUGAUGAUUUUGAAUUAGCGAGACCCUCUAGGGGUUCGCCUGCUUUAUUGACUCCAGAAGUGCAGGUUUCCAUUCUAAAUGGUGACGAUGCUAAAGAAUAUAUACAAAUUCAUCAAAAAUCCUACAAUCGAGAUCCCAUAGAUACCGACAUUAAGGACCAUCUAAAACGUGGGCCCCAACCAUAUGCAAUUUGUUGGCUUGAAGCCUUUGAAACCUUUAAGGUCAAUGAACUAUCCCUAAAAAGGGUUAUGUUAGUAUAGCCGACUGAUGUGAGAAGAUAUAAUUGGGUGGACGCUGAAAUAGUGGGGACCCCCUUCAUUUUAAGUACUCAAACAAUCGUAAGUGUGACCAAUAUCACGAUCGGUCAUUCUUCUGAUUGGUAUGUCCUUCCGGUAGAUCCAGAAAAAAGGAUAUGAAACGUCUCUUUAUGAGUGUCUAUUUACCAGGGUGAAUCUUCGGUUUCCUCUAUGUGAAUUUGAGGUGGAGGUGUUGAAGUACCUAAAAGUUGUCCUCUCUCAGCUUCAUUCGGUUUCUUAGGCUUAGUUGAAGAUGUUCCAAUUUUGUGAAGGAUAUAGGUCUUGGAAUCCUUUUCCCUGUUUUUUUUCAAAUUGUUUUGAGUUGUACAUAUUUCUAAAAAUGAUACUCGAAAUCAGAGGCUUAUUGAGCUUUGUUAGCAUACUCGCUUCUUCAUCCCUUUUCACUAAUGAUUGGGGCAAUUUUCUGGGGCAUUUCGUGUUGGUGAGGCCAUAAAGUUUCCUUCUCAUCUAGCCUUGCCGAGUCUUCUCGCUUAUGUAAGGGUAAGUUUCUGAAAUAUUGGGAUUGACCUCACUUUUGUUAUGAGCCUCAUAUGUAUAGCAUUUAAAUAGAUUACCUUUAUAGAGUCUCUAUACUAGGGACUCAUCUACAUAGAAAGGUUUGGUCACAACAAAGAGUCGUCUUCCUACCAGAGGAAGAAAUCUAUUGAUACCCACGCUAUUGUGAGUAUGGUCGACCGUCUAGAUAGGAAAUAUGUAUUUGGUGAGGAUAAAAUCCUUGUUUUUUUAACCUGUGUGCUUGUACUUGUAGAUAAAAUGGGCUCUUUACAAAAAGUCUACACCAUUUGCACUUCUCAAUGUGUCAACUCAGGUCCCCUGGCUCAGACUACUACUACUCCUUCCAUAACUCUCGAUGCAUCCUCUGUUGUCGAGGAUACUUCAGCUAUCCCUGGAGCUGACCAACUUAUUCAUGUCAGUACUGCUUUGACUAUGGAGGACCAAUCUCAUGUUGUUACUACCCCGACAAAGAGAGACCCGGACUUGGACCAGAGUCCUCUUCUAGAGAAAAAUUCUCCAAAGUGGGAUCGCCUUUCUAGGGGUUUUACUUCAGGAUCGACCACUCCCCUUCUAAAAAAUCUUGUCAUCCUUCCUUCCUGAAUUCCCCACACCCCCGAGGAUGUUGUUGUUGCUAUAUCCAUGGAGGAUCUGGCUUACCUCUAAAAUCUUCUUGAGGCGGGACGAACAAUAUGGAGAUUUUCUUGAGGAUACCUUAUACACUUACCGGGAGGCUUCUCUAUUUUAAUUAUUUGUUGUUGAUCGAGGCGAAGUCCUAGCCAUGGGUAAUCCUUUCAAAGAUAGAGACACAUGGAAGGAAAAGUGUGAAUCAUUUAUGCGGAAGUGCUCCGACUUUUAGGAGGAAACAUCUUCUCUCCUAUAAAAGGUCUGAUGUAUUGAGGAUCUCUAAGAGGAGGUGAAGGUCCACCGUUCACCUUCUAGUUUAGCUUCUCAUAUCACUGAGUUAGAGUCUUCCUUAGAAGAAGAGAAGAAGCAUCGUCAGGAGACAAUUGUUGCCAUUAGGGAGGCAAAAAAUUGUGACGAUGAGGCUUAGAAAGCCUUUCAAUAGGAGAAGGAGUCCCAUGUUGAGGAUCAGAGGGUUCAUGAUGGCUAGGUGGUUGAGCUGAAUGAAAGAGUCCAUGAGUCUCUUCAGCAUGCUUUAACGAAUGUGUAUAAAGCUUUCGACCAGGAAGUGGAACAGGAAAAAGGAUUCCGCCCAAACAUCCUCAUUCCCAACGUGGAACUAGACAUUUCAAAUUUGUUCAGGACGGGGCUUUGGUGGACAACUCUGGUGUAGUGUCUCAGAGUGAGGAAGCUUGAUUUUCUUUUUCUUCUUUUCCUAUAACGUUAUUUGGGCUUUAUGUCUUUGCAAAGAUAACAAUAUUUACAUAUUUACCUUUACAUUUGGUGCCUUUAUUAAACUUAUGUGCUUGAUAUAUUUUAUUUCUUCCUUAUUGUCAUUUGGUCCGCCGUGUGGGUUGCUAGUCUCCAUGCUUUGGAUCGAUUGACGAGUCCUUGUUGCAUCAGGACUUACUCAUUGUGCUUGUACCUUUAGAUUUGUUCACCUUAUAUGCCCUAUUGGCAUUUGGCGUGUUCAUCGAACUCUAUAGUCCCAAAUGGAGUUCGUGGUUACGAGCUUCGAUUCGGAAAAGUUAGUGUUGUAACACCCCGAUAAAAUAAGAUAAUUAUUUAAAUUGAGUUAAUAAUAUAUUUAUUAAUUUAAUUAAAUAAUUGGAAUUAUUAUUAUUAUUGGAAUAAUAAUUAUUGGAAUAUUAUUGGAAUUAUUAUUAUUGGGUUAUUAUUUUUAAUUUGGAAUAAAAGUUGGAGAGUUCGAAAAGGUCCCCAUUUAGUAAAAAGGUUUAUUUUUCACGUGAAAAGGGAAAGAGACAGAAAGUGGAAAAGGGCAAAGAAGCCCAGAGAACAAGGGUUGAAGGAGGAAGAGCUUGAAGCUUCUUAAAGAUUCGCACGGAUUAACGUCAGGUAAGGGGGGUUUAUCAUGCGUUUAAUGGGUAUUAUGGGAUAAUAUGUAAUGGGUAGUGAUAAACCAUUGAUUUACCUCUGAUUGGAAUAACUUAUGCCUGAAAUUGUGACGUUUUGGGAUGAACGAUCUGGUAUUAAAAUCGAAGGACAUUCGGUAAGAAUUGAUGGCAUAGUGUUAGUAGAAUUGCGAGAUCGAAUAGGUUAUGAAUUCGUGUUAGAUGAUAUGAACGACUAUUGUGAAAAAUUGGACUGUGGAAGGUUAGAAUUGAUAGAUCCGUAGAAGAGAAAGCCAUUGCAGAUCUGGAAAUUCUGGUUUCUGGUCAUACGCGUAUGGACUAGCCAUACCGUAUGAGAUGGUCUGGUACGCGUAUGGCACCUAGGCAAUACGCGUAUGGAUGAGGAAGAUGAUGUUUUGAACGUGUUUUGGUCUCUGUUGGUACGCGUAUGGGGAAUGUGGUACGCGUAGGCAUACGCUAUGGAAUGGUGUUACGCGUAUGGUUUUGGCUGAGAAAUGGGCCAUACGCGUAUGGGACUAGGCAAUACGCGUAUGGGCAGACUUGUGGUUUCCUGAGCUGUUGUUUGUCAGUUUUUAGCUGUUCAGCUGAGUAAUGUAAUUUAGCUGAUGUUGAUAUAUUAGGGAUCAUUCCCCGUUGUUUUGAGUAGUAUAGGUAUUAGUAGAGUGUGCUAUCUACUGUGGUUUGUUAUUUGGCAUGAUAUGAUAUGCUUAUGUGAUAAAUACUGAUGAUGUGUGAUGGUAUGCAUGAUGCUGUGAAUGUAUCAGUUAUGUGUGCAUUUGUGAAUAACUGUUUUAUGGCUUAGAGUGUGAGCAAUAUGUCUAUUCUUGAAUUAUUGUUGAUGAUGUAGCAUUGCUAGGUGAUAGCAUGCAUAUUGUGGCCUUAUGGUGGUAGCUAAUUUCCCAUUGUGAGGAAUUAGUGAGUUAGUCAUUAUGGACUGUUGUCGAUGUUUGCAUGCUAGGUGAAUUAGCGUGCAUAGCAUAGCCCUUGAGGGGUGGUAGCUAAUUCCCGUGGUGAGGAAAUUAGUGAGUGAGUCACUAGGUCUCAAAUGAGUGGGACUAGUUGGACUUGGUAGCCGUGCCUGCUGGAUUUGGACGGUGAGAGGUGAACUAUAUGUUCACAAUAGUCGGUACCGCAUGCAUGGAGUUCAUUGCAUUUGUAUUGUAUGGCGUAUAAUAUGAAUGGAUGUAUUCCAAUAUUAUUACGUGUUGUUUUGUGUUGAGUUGACAGUAUGAUUUUAGUUGAUGUUGCUGUUGCUGAAUGUAUGAUCUGAUUAGGGUGAUGAAUGUGUGAAAUUACUUAAGCACUUACAUGAUGUUUAUAAUGCUUAUAUAUCGAUUGAGGAAAUCACCCUUACAACUAUGUUUUCAGGUAACGGAGCAGUGAUUGAGUAGAAGCUAAUCCUUGGAGUCUAGGUAGUCCUUAGUGGUCAUGCUCUGGUAGAUGUAACAUCGGAUGGGAUGUUUCUAUGUUUUCAUUUGGUUGUUGAACAACUUUACCAUGUAAUGUAUUACAUGGUUUGAAUUUGUUAGUUUUUAUCCGCUGGCGAAUUAAUGCAAAAUGUUUUAUUUUGAUUAAAUAAAUGAGCAUGACAGAAUAUUUUGAUGAUUGGUGGUGAAAUAUGAUUGUGGACACCCUUAAGUGCAUAAUUACUCUGAUUUGGAUAUCUUGUUUAUUUUAAUUAAAUAUUUGGGUAUUUUUAGAAGGGUGUUACAUUAGUGUAUCAGAGCAUAGUCGGUCGAGUCGAGUCGUAAUUAUUCUGUUCCCCUGUACGGGACUAGUGUUGUGUAACCCUAUAGUACUUAUUGUUUUAGCUUGUUGGGUUUUUCAGAAUAGAGAUGGCUGGAGAGGUAGAGACGAUGCUGCAAUUGCUGAGGCUCUGGGUUAUGCCUAGCUGGAGUACUUGGAGGAAAUCCGAAUGUUGUGGGAAUGGGAGCUGCUCGUCAACUGAGUGAGUUCCAGAAGAGUAAUCCUCCAAUGUUCAAGGAGGCAUACGAUCCAGAUGGCCGCUCAGAAGUGGUUGAAGGAGAUCGAGAGGAUCUUCCGAGUGACUGAGUGUGCGCGAUAACCAGAAGGUCAGGUUCGGUACGCAUAUGCCGUCAGAAGAGCAGAUGAUUGGGUGGUGCUACCCGCAGCUGAGUUGGAAUCUGCUGGAAUGAUGAGAUCACUUGGGUUUGUGUUCCGAGAGAGAUUCCUGAGGAAGUACUUUCCAGAGGAUGUUAGAGGAAAGAAAGAGAUAGAGUUCUUGGAAUUGAAGCAGGGCAAUCGGUCUGUUACUGAGUAUGUGCUAAGUUCACAGGCUGUCGAAGUAUUCACUCCCUAUAAGCGAGGCUACUGGGGAAUUUUUCAAAGUGUGUGAGUUUGGAAACGGGUUGCGUCCCGAGAUUAAGCAGGCUAUUGGGUAUCCAGCGGAUCAGAGUGUUUUCCUGACUUGGUUGACUGUUGCAGCAGAUUUUUGAACAGGAUUCCAAGGCUAGAGCAGAGAGCUAUCAGCAAAGGGUGUUGAUAGGAAAGGCAAGAAUCAGAAUGAUCGGGGAAACCGUAUGUAGUUGGAAAAGGUUUCAGAGGCAGAGUGGGAUGAAGAGGCCUAGUGGGGGAGACUCCAGUGCCCCUGGCUAAGUGUUUCAGAUUGUGGUCAGGCUGGACAUCGUAUCCAUGAGUGUACCAGUAAUGAGAAGAAGUGGUUUUAAGUGUGGAAAAGGUGGUCAUUUGGCUGCAGAGUGCCGGUCGACGACUGUGACUUGUUUCAAACGUGGAGAAGUGGGUCAUAUCAGUCCACAGUGUCCUAAGCCGAAGAAAAGAUCAGUCGGGAGGCAAGGUCUUUGCUUUAUCGGGUUCUGAGACUUCUGCAGACGAUUCGUUUGAUCCGAGGUACGUGUUAUAUUAAGGCUUUCCUCUGUAGCUAUUAUUGACACAGGUGCGACUCAUUCUUUAUUCUUUGGAUUGUGCUGUGAAACUUAAGUUAGAGAUAUCUGAGAUGCUUGGAAGUAUGGUGAUUGAUACUCCUGCGAAGGUUCAGUGACUACUACUUCAGUUGUUUAAAUUGUCCUUUGAGUAUUUUUGGUAGAGACUUUGGGAUGGACCUUAGUGUGUCUUCCACUAGUUGCAGAAUUGAUGUUAUCCUGGGUAUGAACUGGUUUGGUGUUUAACCGAGUUUAUAUCAAUUGUUUGAUAGACUGUGACUCUUUCCUGAGAUUGAGGAAGGAAAGAGUUUGUUUCUAUCAGCAGGCAGGUGAAUGAGGCAGUAGUAGACGGGGCAGAGUUGUUUAUGCUGUUAGCGACUUUGGAGGCUAAAGAUAAACUGGUGAUUUGUGAUCUAGCCGUGGUGUGUGAUUUUCCUGAUGUGUUUCCUGAAGAGUGAAUGAAUUACGCCAGAACGUGAAGUUGAGUUUCUCGAUUGAUUUGGUACCUGGUCUAGGCCAAUGUCGAUGGCUCGGUACCGUUGUCUGCUGUUGAGUUAACUGAAUUGAAGAGUCAGUUAAAAGAUCUGUUGGAUAAGAAAUUUAUUCGUCCGAGUGGUCACCGUGGUGCACUAGUGUUAUUUGGUUAAGAAGAAAGAAGGUACUAUGAGGUUGUGUGUGGACUACAGGCAACUGAUAUAAGUGACGAUCAAGAAUCGUAUCCUUUGCCGGAGGAUUGAUGAUUUGAUGGAUCAGUUGGUUGGUGCGAGUGUGUUUCAGCAAAAUAGAUUGAGAUCGGAUAUCACCAGAUACGUGUGAAAACUGAGGAUAUUCAGAAGACUGCUUUCAGAACAAGGUAUGGACAUUAUGAGUAUUCUGUAAUGCCUUUUGGUGUGACUAAUGCGCCUGGAGUAUUUAUGGAGUAUUGAAUAGGAUUUUUCCAUCCGUACCUAGAUAAGUUUGUUGUGGUGUUUAUUGAUGACAUUUGUGUAUUCGAAAUCUGAAGAAGAGCAUGCUGAGCAUUUGAGAGGGUGUUAGGAGUUCUACGGAAAAGAAUUAUUUGCUAAACUAUCCAAGUGUGAAUUUUGGUUAGAAGAGGUUAGUUUCUUGGUCAUGUGAUUUCAAGAGGUGUGUUGUGCUGUUGAUCCUUAAGAUAGAAGCGGUAUCUAAGUGGAAGCUCCGAAGUCAGUUUCUGAGAUAAGAAGUUUUCUUGGACUUGCCAGGUUAUUAUAGGAAGUUCAUUGAGAGGAUUUUCUAAGUUGGCAUUACCGUUGACGAUGUUGACUACGAAAGGGGCAAGCGUUUGUUUGGGACUCAAAAUGUGAAGAAGGUUUCCAGAGUUAAAGAGAAGGUUAACUACUGCUCUAUUUUUGAAUAUUACCGAGUCCGUCAGAACUAUUUGAGGUUUUUCUGUGAUGCUUCAUAUGUUGGGUUUGGGUGGUGUGUUGAUGCAGAUAAGCAGGUUAUAGCUUAUGCUCGAGACAACUGAGGGUUCAUGAGAGGAACUAUCCGACGCACGAUUUAGAGUUGGCAGCUGUGUAUUUGGUUCUGAAGUUGUGGAGCAUUACUUGUACGGGUCAAGAUUUGAGGUUUUCAGCGACCAUAAGAGUUUAAAGUAUUUGUUUUGAUCAGAAAGAGCUGAAUAUGAGACAGAGGAGAUUGGUUAGAGUUUCUGAGAUUAUGACUUUGGUUUGAAUUACCAUCGGGUAAAGCAAACGUAGUGGCUGAUGCAUUGAGUCGGAAAUCAUUGCAUAUGUCCUAUGUUAAUGGUUAAGGAAUUGGAUUUAAUUGAGCAGUUUAGAGACUUGAGUUUGGUGUGUGAGAGUACUCACAAUAGUGUUAAAUUGGGAAUGUUGAAGUUAACAAGUAGUAUUUCUGGAUGAGAUCAGAGAGGGUCAGAAAUCCGAGUGCUUUUGGUUGAUAAGUUGACUUUAGUGAAUCAAGGUCAAGGUGGUGAAUUGCAGAGUUGAUGAGAAUGGUGUUUUGAAUUUGGUAAUCGGGUGUGUAUUCCGGAUGUUACGAACUUAGAAGAGUAUCCUGGAGGAAGGACAUCGUAGUGGCCUGAGUAUUCAUCCUGGGGCUACGAAGAUGUAUCAUGAGUUGAAAAAGUUUUUUUUGGUGGCCGGAAUGAAAAGAGAAUUGCGAGUUUUGUUUAUUCUUGUUUGACUUGUCAGAAGUCAAAGAUUGAGCAUCAGAAGCCGUCUGGGCUAAUGCCAACCGUUGGCUUUUCCAGAGUGAAAGUGGGAUAGUAUCAGCAUGGAUUUUGUUUCUGGUUUACCGAGGACAACUAAGAAUUUCGAAGCUAAUUUGGGUGAUUGUUGACAGAUUGAACAAAAUCGGCUCAUUUCAUUCGAUCAGAAUGGAUUAUCCGUUAGAGAGAUUAGCUGAGUUGUAUAUUGAGAAGUUGUAAGUUUGCAUGGUAUUCCGUCGAGUAUUGUUUCGGACAGAGAUCCUAGAUUUACAUUAAGUUCUGGAAGGUUUGUUAGAGGGCUUUGGAACUAAGCUGAGAUGAGUUCUGCAUAUCAUCCACAGACUGAUGGUCAGACUGAGAGGACGAUUCAUUACUGGAGAAUCUUUUUGAGGGCUUGUUGUUUUGGAAAAAGGAGGUGCUUGGAUUGUUAUUUACCUUUGAUUGAGUUCACCUACAAACAAUAGUUUUCAUUCGAGCAUUGGUAUGGCCCGUUUGAAGCUUUGUAUGGUAGGAGAUGUCGGACACCUUUAUGUUGGUAUGAGUCCGGUGAGAAGUGCUGUGGUUGGACCGGAGAUUGUUCAACAAACUACGGAAAAGAUUAAGAUGAAUUCAGGAGAAGAUGAGAAUUGCUCAAGAGUCGUCAGAGAGAGUUAUCACGACAAGAGGAGAAGAAGUCACUUGAGUUCCAAGAGGGAGAUCUGUGUUUCUUCGUGUUACCCGAUAACUGGGUUGGUCGAGCUUUGAAGUCGAAGAAGUUGACACCUCGAUUUAUUGGUCCUUAUCAGAUUUUGGAGAAGGAAUAGGGGAGGUAGCCUAUCGUAUCGCUUUACCGACGUCACUUGCGAAUUUGCAUGAGGUUUUCAUGUGUCCUCAGUUGAGGAGGUACAUUCAUGAUCCGUCGCAUGUAGUCCAAAUAGAUGAUGUACAGGUGAGAGAUUAACCUGACUGUUGAAACAUCACCUAUGAGGAUCGAGGAUCGAGAAGUUGAAGCAGUUGCGGGGUAAGAGAUUGCUUUGGUAAAGGUAGCUUGGGGAGACCAGCAGGUGGCAAUGUGACUUGGGAACUUGAGAAGUCAGAUGAAGGAGUCUUAUCCUGAGUUGUUCGCUUGAGGUAUGUUUUCGAGGACGAAAACUCUUUAGUGGGGAGAGUUGUAACACCCCAUAAAAAAGAUAAUUAUUUAAUAUUGAGUUAAUAAUAUAUUUAUUAAUUUAAUUAAAUAAUUGGAAUUAUUAUUAUUAUUGGAAUAAUAAUUAUUGGAAUAUUAUGGAAUUAUUAUUAUUGGUUAUUAUUUUAUUGAAAUAAAAGUUGAAGUUAGAAAAGGUCCCAUUUAGUAAAGGUUUAUUUUUUCACGUGAAAAGGGAAAAGAGACGAAAGUGGAAAGGGCAAAGAGAGCCAGAGAACAAGGGUUGAAGGAGAGGAAGAGCUUGAAGCUUAAGAUUCGCCGGAUUAACUCAGUUUAAGGGGGUUUAUCAUCGUUUAAUGGUAUUAAUGGGAUAAUAUGUAAUGGGUAGUGAUAACCAUUGAUUUACCUCUGAUUGGAAUAAUUAUGCUGAAAUUAUGAACGUUUGGGAUGAACGAAUCUGGAUUAAAAUCGAAGGAAAUUCGUAGGAAUUAGAUGCAAUAGUGUUAGAAAUUGCGAGAUCGAAUAGGGUUAUGAUUCGUGUUAGAUGAUAUGAACGACUAUUGUGAAAAUUGGACUGUGGAAGGUUGAAUUGGAUAGAUCUCGUAGCAGAGAAAGCCAUUGCAGAUCUGGAAAUUUGGUUUCUGGUCAUACGCGUAUGGCACUAGGCAAUACGCGUAUGAGAUGGUCUGGUACGCGUAUGGCACUAGGCAAUACGCGUAUGGAUGAGGAAGAUGAUGUUUUGAACGUGUUUUGGUCUCUGUUGGUCGCCGUAUGGGGAGUGGUACGCGUAGCAUACCGCGUAUGGGAUGGUGUUACGCGUAUGGGUUGGCUGAGAAAUGGGCCAUACGCGUAUGGGACUAGGCAAUACGCGUAGGGGCAGACUUGUGGUUUCCUGAGCUGUUGUUGUGCAGUUUUAGCUGUUCAGCUGAGUAAUGUAAUUUAGCUGAUGUUGAUAUAUUAGGGAUCAUUCCCCGUUGUUUUGAGUAGUAUAGGUAUUAGUAGAGUGUGCUAAUACUGUGGUUGUUAUUUGGCAUGAUAUGAUAUGCUUAUGUGAUAAAUACUGAUGAUGUGUGAUGGUAUGCAUGAUGCUGUGAAUGUAUCAGUUAUGUGUGCAUUUGUGAAUAGACUGUUUAUGGGCUUAGAGUGUGAGCAUUAUGUUAUUCUUGAAUUGUUGUUGAUGAUGUGCAUUUGCUAGGUGAUUUACAGCAUAUUGUGGCCUAUGGUGGUAGCUAAUUCCCAUUGUGAGAAUUAGUGAGUUAGUCAUUAUGGACUGUUGUCGAUGUUUUGCAUGCUAGGUGAAUUAGCGUGCAUAGCAUAGCCCUUGAGGGGGUGGUAGCUAAUUCCCGUGGUGAGGAAUUAGUGAGUGAGUCACUAGGUCCUCAAAUGAGUGGACUAGUUGGACUUGUAGCCGUGCCUGGAUUUGGACGGUGAGGUGAACUAUAUGUUCACAAAUAGUCGGUACUGCAUGCAUGGAGUCUCAUUGCAUUUGUAUUGUAUGGCGUAUAAUAUGAAUGGAUGUAUUCCAAUAUUAUACGUGUGUUUUGUGGUUGAGUGAGUAUGAUUUUAGUUGAUGUUGCUGUUGCUGAAUGUAUGAUCUGAUUAGGGUGAUGAAUGUGUGAAAUUACUUAGCAUUACAUGAUGUUUAUAAUGCUUAUUAUAUCGGAUUGAGGAACUCACCUUACAAACUAUGUUUUCAGGUAACGAGCAGUGAUUGAGUAGAAAGCUAAGUCCUUGGAGUCUAGUGUAGUCCUUAGUGGGUCAUGCUCUGGUAGAUGUAACAUCGGAAUGGGAUGUUUUACUAUGUUUUCAUUUUGGUUGUUGAAACUUUACAUGUAAUGUAUUACAUGGUUGAAUGUUGUAGUUUUAAUCCGUGUGAAUUAGCAAAUGUUUUAUUUUGAUUAAAUAAAUGAGCAUGACAGAAUAUUUUGAUGAUGUGUGUGAAAUGAUUGUGUGACACCCUUAAGUGCAUAAUUAUUCUGAUUGAUAUCUGUUUAUUUUAAUUAAAUAUUUGGGGUAUUUUAGAAGGGUGUUAACAGUGUCAUAUGAAUCAUCCCUAGCCAAAGGUAAGGUCAGUCCCUGUCCCCGGGUUUAUCCUAGUUCCACCGUCUAUGUAACACCUACUUUAGUUAAUUAUUAUGUUUAUUUUAAUAUUUAAUUUGUUCUAUGUAUUGAGUGAUUUAUUGUACUUUUUGUUAUUUAUGGUAUUUUGGUAUUUAGGUAAUAUUAAAAAAAUUAGAGAUGUGUUAGAAUUAAGAAGAAAUAGACUUUUUUAAUUAAAUUAGAAAGAUAUGGUGUUGAGUAAGAGCUAGGGUGUGGUGGAGGAUUAGUGAGAAUAAUAGAAUAUCGUUGUAAGUAAAUAAUUGUAUUAUUAAAAUAAUUUAUUAUUUAAAAUAAUUUAGAUAAUUUUGAAUGAAAAAUAAUCAAUUAGAAAGUAGAGGUUUAAGUGAGGUUGGGAAAAUAAUUAGACUUUUAGGUUUUUAAAUAGAAAAGUUAGAAGGGAUUCUGGACAUAAUGUGAAAUUGUGGAAAAGAGGAAGCGAUUGAAACCCUAAGGAGAGCGAUCUAGGAAGGUGAGUGAAGAAUAAUCNGAAUUAUGCAAAUGUUUUAUUUUGAUUAAAUAAAUGAGCAUGACAGAAUAUUUUGAUGAUUGGUGUGAAAUGAUUGUGUGACACCCUUAAGUGCAUAAUUACUCUGAUUGAUAUCUUGUUAUUUUAAUUAAAUAUUUGGGGUAUUUUAGAAGGGUGUUACAAGUGUCACUAUGAAUCAUCCCUAGCCAAAGGUAAGGUUCACGUCCCUGUCCCCGGGUUUAUCCUAGUUCCACCGUCUAUGUAACACCCUUACUUUAGUUAAUUAUUAUGUUUAUUUAAAUCAUUUAAUUUGUUCUAUGUUAUUGAGUGAUUUAUGUACUUUUUGUUAUUUAUGGGUAUUUUGGUAAUUUAGGUAAUAUUAAAAAAAUUAGAGAUGUGUUAGAAUUAAGAGAAAAUAGACUUUUUAAUUAAAUUAGAAAGAUAUGGGUGUUUAGAGUAAGAGCUAGGGUGUGGUGAGGAUUAGUGAGAAUAAUAGAAUUAUCGUUGUAAGUAAAUAAUUGUAUUAUUAAAAUAAUUAUUAUUUAAAAUAAUUUAGAUAAUAUUUGAAUGAAAAAUAAAUCAAUUAGAAAGUAGAGGUUUAGUGAGGGUGAGGAAAAUAAUUAGACUUUUAGGUUAUUUAAAUAGAAAAGUUAGAAGGGAUUUCUGGACAUAAUGUGAAAUUGUGGAAAAGAGGAAGCGAUUGAAAACCUAAGGAGAGCGAUCUAGGAAGGUGAGUGAAGAAUAAUCUCAAUGGUAGAAAAACUCAACGAUCAUCGCAGUCGAGGAAGGGGGUGAGAUCCCUUACAUUUUGCGUGUUUAGGCAUCCGAAUAGCGAGGGAUCCUAACCAUCAUGUCUUCUCCUUCCAUAUUAUGAGUGUUGCUUUAAUCGUAUGUUUGUGGCUAAAAGGGUUUGUCCUAAACCCCUUUGAAUUAACAAUUUGAAUAUAUUACAUCGAAUUGAGUUAUUUUGAAUCUAUAAUAAUAUUAUUGUUAUUGAUAUGUGGCCUUGUCCCUUUUGGGGUUUUUUUCUUGAUAAUUCGAUUACUCCCGGUUUGUGAUGUGUAGCUGAUAUUUUCUUUUGAGAUCAAUAAUCAAAUUCCAAAAUCUUAUUUUUCAUGAAAAUCCCUAAUAUCAUUUUUUUUCGAAAGAUCAUAAAAAUGGUCAAAAAAUCAAAAAGUCGAGAAAAUCGAGAAAAAGUUAGAAAAUCCAAAAUCGGAAAAAAUUGGGUGGCGGGCCGCAGCAGCAACCAAGAGUCAGAGGCCGCCAAAAUCAGGUGUCGCAUCGCCGGCCGGCGACCGUGAGCAACGGGGCCGCCAGAGUCAUGUCGCGGUGGCAGCAUGCGACAGGUUUUCGGAUUCGGGCAGUGCGGUGGCACGGGUCGGAUGAGGCGGUCCGGUGUUCGGCGGUAGUUUGACGUUUCGCUGUUCAAUUGAGUUAAUUUCGAGUAAUCUUGAGUUCAGUGACUUUUCGCUACCUUUGUUGAUAAGUUCGAGAGCCAAUUGUUAUUUUAGAGUUGUUUUAUGUUUAUUUGAGUCAGACCGCCGGUCAAUAUAGUUCAUAAGAGUUAUCUUUAUAUGCAAGUGUUGUCCUUUGAGCACUUUAGAGUACCUUAAAGUUGUUUUGGGUUGUAGAAAUUAUUGUAGAGCCGUUUAGAGUUCCUUUGAGGACUCUGUUGAGUAAAAGAUAAGGGUUGUUACCCUUUUGAUGAGUUGCAAAUAUAAAAUAAUAAUAACUACUAUGUCGAUAUGUUUUUAGUAAUUUUAUGAGUUGACGAACAAAUUGAAUUAACGUGUGAUGAAGUUUAUCAUUACAUUAUGUAAGAUUUUAUUUUUUGAUGUUUGGACAUUCAUUUCCUAAUUUAUCAAUUGUAUUAACCAACAUUUUACAAACUAUUAACAAAAGUCUAUUUGUCACAUAAAACUUUAGCUUUUGAUGUCAGAGCAUUCAAUAAUAUUAAAUUAAUCAACUUUAUAAUUUAAGAUUAUUUUUUUUAAUAUUUUUUUUAUUUAAAUAAAAAUAUUAAUCAUCAUAUAAAUAUAAAUAUAAAUUCGGUAAACAAUAUUCCAUAUAUUUGGUUUAAAUAUUUGAUAUACAAUUAUAUGUCAAAAUAACAUUGCUGAAUAACUUAUUUGGUAGACACGACUGAAGCUAAUAAUUUAUUUGAUACACACAAAUGAAAAUAAAUGAAAAUUUCAGCUAAAUCACUUUUAAGUGUCAAAAUAAUUUCUAUUGUGUCUUUUAAUUACUACUCUUUACAUUAUUUUUAAUAUAUUUAAUUUAUAAGAUUAAUUUAAUAAUAGUGUAUUAUUACCUUUCAUUAAUUUGUGUAAAAAACCUUAUAAGUUGUAUUAAUUAUCGGCAAAUAUCUAUACUCAUCGAUGUAGAGGGAAAAAUCACACAAUAUCAAACAUUGUAAAUUUCAAAACACAGAUUUCAGAUAUAAUACAUGACCAUUUCAAAACACAUACAAUUUCAAAACACAGAUUUCAGAUAUAAUACAUGACCAUUUCAAAACACAUUUUCAAUCUAUGCUAUAUAUGCAAACCAAAAAAAGCAAAACCAGAAACAACGUCUUAGCAAAACUAUUAUCUUCAAAUUGAUAGCAUAGCUUCACAACCAAGCAAAACCACCCCAACAACAAAAGACAUCCACAUUCCCUUCACAUUACAGUAACCAGCACCAGAAGAAGCUUCAGAAGGCAAGUCUUUGUUCUCAUCAUCAUCAUCCUUCGAUGCUGAUGACUUGCUUCCAUCACCAGGCUUAGAUGAACCUCCUUUAGAAACCGUUGCAGGUGCAGGAGCUUUCGCAGGAAGCAGAAGAUCAAGAGGAACAAGAACCUUGUCAACCUGAUAUAUAGCUAGUUUAUUAUCUGCAUAAAUGGUUCCUGUAACAGUGGCGUUAACCGCACCAGUUGUCAAGCUAACUUGACUGCUCCCGGAAGUGGUUACGUUAAGUUGUAGCCUUUUGGCAUCGUCGCCGGCCUGUGUUUGAACCGGGUUUGUUAAGGUGUCGAAAUUUGAGAGUGAGAUGAAUGAGGAAAGUGUGUGGAAUUGUAACAGUUCUACUUUGUGUCUGUCACUGAGAGAAUUAAGGAAACCUGGUUUCAGUUUCGAAAAAGCACUGUCUUCUGGUGCGAAAACGGUUAAACCAGCAUUGCUAGAAUCUGAUGCUUCUGAUGAUGGUGAUGUAACUAGCUGUGAGUUGAGUUGGUUUAUUAACUGAGUUGUUUUGAGAAGGCGGAUAAGAACCGAGAAUCUUUUGGCUUUUUUUAGAAUUUGGAUGAUGUCAAUGGAUGGUGUUUUGGGGAUAAUGUCGAUAGGGGCGGGGCCUCCGCUUGGGGAAACUGGUACAAGGGGAACUGUGUUGAAACCUGGGGCUGGUGUUGAUGCUUGUGGGGAUUGAAAUGGUGAGAGUUGUGCUGAGGUGGAAGUGGAGUAGAAGAGGAUGCAAAUUAUUAGUUGUAGAAUUGAACAAGAGAAAAGAAAUUGUUGCUUCUUCAUUGUUGAAGGUUGAGUAGAGAUUAAUGUGUAUGACACUUUGAAAUUACUACUUAAUAGCACUUGAUUUGGGUGUCUCGGUGCUAUCAAGAAAAAACCGAUUAUCCAUAAUAACUUGGUAUCCAAAUUGAUCCAUUUUAAAAAAACCAAAUAAAAUAUUAAAAUAAAAAUUUGAAAAUCCAUUUUGUUAUCCAAAUAUAAACCGUUAUAUAUUAUAGAAAUUUUGAUUUUGUUAUUGGUUAUCCAAAUUUUACUAUGCGAUAAACUUUUAUAUUGGUAUGUUUUCAUGUUUUAUCACGUUAUAAAUCAAUUUUAUAUUUUAAAUUUUAUAAAAAAAUUAUUUUAAAAAUAAAAAUCAGAUUUUUUUCUUUUCACAAAAAAUAAAAUAUUUGGAUUUUUUUUUCGAAAAAAUUAUAUUUGAUAUUUAUUUUUCAAAUAAAAUUAUUAUUUUUUUCUAAAUAAAAAAGAUAUUUUUUAUCAAAAAUAUUUUGUAUUUUUUCAAUAAAAAAUUGUUUUUUAAAAAAGAAUAGAUUUUUUUAAAAAAAAUUUUCAGAAUAUAAUUUUAUUAUUUUCAAUUUUUUUUCUGAAUAUUUAUUAUUUUUUUUUAUGUUUUUUAAAUUUUAAAGAAAAAAAUAUUUUAAAACCUCAUAAAAUUUGUUUAUGAACAAUUACGAAAGAUUUUAGAAAUUUGAACAAUUUUUUUGAUGAGUUAUUUAUUUUAUGAACAAUUAUGAUUUAUAAAGAUAUGAUUCAUAAUUAUUUUAUUUUAUUACCGUUUUUAUGUAACACAUCACUUUUGGAUUGUUUUUAAUCGAGAUAUUAUUUGUGGUGAUUAUAAAAGUCAAAUUUAAAAUAAUUUUUUAAAAUAAAUAUUUUUUUUAUAUAUAAUAGUUUUAUAAUUAGUGAAAAUAAAAAAGUUAGUUAAAAGAAAAUAAAAUUAUUUUUGAUAUAAAAUUGAUUUUUUAAAAAUAUUGUUUUAAAAACUAUUUUAUUUUAUAAAAUUGGUUUUGAAAUUGAUUUUUUUAAGAGAAUAAAAAAUUGGUUUUAAAGAAAUUGAUUUAAAUUUUUUUUUUUUUAAAUCGGAUUAAAACCGAAUCGAUCCAUAUAUAAACCGAUUUCUAAAAAAUAAAUUGGUUUUAUGAAAAUGGUUUUAAGAACCAAACCGAAUCAUAUAUACGGUUCAAUUUGGUUUGUUUCAUGAUCCAUGCACACCCCUAGGAAUGAGGGAGAAAGAAUGGCUUUUAUUGAGGAUGUUAAUACUUGCAAGGUUUAGUUUAGUUGGAAAGAAAAUUGGAAGUUAUCAUAUCAUAUCAUAUGAUUCAUGGCAUCAUACAGUUAUAAGAUCAAUUAUUUGAUGCGGAGGGUAUAUGAAAAUGUGGUAGGAAAAUGGGCUUUUGAUCUGUUUAGAGGUUGAGGUUUUCCAUCAGCCAGAAAGAAAAGGAAAUAAUCAGAAUACAGUUUAUCUUCCUAGGUGGCACUGUCUGAGAAAGAUUUGUCAAUAAGGACUGAGGAGCUAAGAAACAAACAUUAGACCUACCUUACUCUCAGAUCAGAUGUUGCUCGCAGACUUUCAGUUCAUUAUACCUAUAGCAGUAAUUAGUUAAGAAAAUAGUAUUUAGGAGAAGCUGGAAAUGUCAAAUAUUAAGAUCUCUUGAUAAGUUUAUACAGUAUACUAAAAUUUUAAUAACAGUUGAGACUAUUUUCUUGAUAUUUUUUCUGCAUUGGAGUUGCGUGACAUGACAACAAUAUGCCAGAAGAGUUUCCAUUGUGGAACGAUUUUUCGGCAAAAGAAAUGGGAACAAUUAAAAUGACGAAGUGGCAUGUCUGCAUAAAUUGUUUGGAAGUAUACAUAAAUAGCAGCCAGGGCUUAAGUCCAUUGUGAAAUCUCAUUGUGGAGAGAGAGUGAUUCUAAAAUCUGAUUGACAUGAUUCUAGAUAACUGCAUCCAUGGAGACAGGGUUCUCACUUUGAUGAGGCGGUAUCCGCUACCUUUUAGCGUUAGGUUGGCAGGUCCGACGUACUUGGUAGGAGGAAAACAUAUGUGCAAAUUUACUGGCAAAUUAUAGUUUCUAAGAGUUCUUUGUUGUUUUGAGGUAGAGACUCUUUCAAAUGAGUUUUAUGGUUUGUGUUUUUUUAUGAUAUAUCUAGUCUGUAUAUGCCCGGGACGGUUUGUUUAGGCGCUUAGCUUUUAGUCUUCUGGGCUUAAGCACUCAUUUUGUGUCAAAAACAAAGUGAUUAUAAUCAAUUAUUAAACAUCAUAAUAAAGAUUGUAGAUUGUAAAGUAAACAUUCUUUCACCAAAACAAUAUGUUUUCUAUUUUUAACAUGAACAAAAUCAGGAAAGUGUUCACACUUCACAACCUCUCAAACAACAAUCUUCCCAUGACAAUACAAAAAACGAAACCAAGAAAGAAAAAAAAGAGCAUAAUAGAAAUUCAAAAAACAAAACAGUCUUCAAAUGAUUUACUCUUCAUCAAUUGAUCAUGGUUAGUGCAGCAACAAAAAGCGACACAAACAAUGUUCCUUGAAGACAAAUCAAAUUGAUAGCACCAGAAGUAGCCUUAGUUGUCACAUCCUGAUCAUCAUCUGAAGAUGAAUCCUUAGCAGCUUUAGGUGCUUUUGCUAUAAUAGGAGCCGCAGCGAGAGCUUUAGGCUUAGAGAAAUCCAAAGGAAUAAGCACCUUAUCAACAUGAUAUAUAGCAAGUGUUUUGUCAGAAUAAACAAUCCCUGUGAGUGUAGCAUUAACAGACCCAGUUGAAAUAUUCACAUUGUUUCCAUAAGCAGUCACAUUUAUUUGAUAACCAGAAGGACUAUCACUUGCAAGAGUGAGCACAGGAUUACUUAGUGAAUCAAAGUUUGAGCUUGAGACAUAAACAGGAAGAACAUGAAACUGUAUCAGUUGUUUCUGUUGGCGUUCGCGGAGGGAAUUAAAGUAUCCGGCUUUGAGCUGCGAAAAGGCACCGUCAUCGGGUGCAAGAAUGGUUAAACCGCCGGAUUUUGUUGUCACCAGCUGUGCGUUGAUUUGAUUGAUGAUUUGCGUGGUUUUGAGCAAGCGGAUCAGUGUGUUGAAUGAUUUAGCUUUUCUUAGGAUUUUGAUGAUGUCUUGACCGGAUGAAGAAUCGGAGGAGGGUGAUUGAGGUAAUGAAGGGACUAAUGGUUUUGCGGGUGCUGCUGCUGGAGCUGGUGUGGCAGGGGCAGGUUUUGCUGGAGGUUUAGGUGCUGCUGCAGGUGAUUCAGCUGAAGUGGUGAUGAAAAAGAUAUGAGCAAAUAGUACUAAGAGGGAAAAGAAGAUGAUUUGCUUCAUCUUUUUAUACUAGAUAGUUUUGAUGCUUUUGAAAAGGUGGUAAUGAGAGGUAUGAGUAUUUGGUUUGUGGAAGUGUAAUGGAAGAGAGUGGUUUUAUAGAUGCUAUUAGUGAGUGAUGAUUAGGUGGCUGGUUUUUGUAAUAUGAAGGUAUGAACAUAGGUUAUACAGAAAUGAUAUUUCUACACCCCUUUCUUACAUCUACACCAUGAACAAUACUUUUUUAAUUUUUUAUUAUUAAGUUCUCUCUGAGUUUUUUUUUUAAUAUCCAGAUUUUUUUAAAAAAAAUCAAGAAUACACAUUUUUUCAAAAAAAUUAUAAAAAUGGGCAUUUUUUGCCCUAUUUUUCUACUUGGGCGCCACCCUAGUUGGCGCCUACCCUUAAAUAUAUAUAUUUACUUAUUAAUUUAAUUUAUAAGUAAUUAAUAUUAUUUAUAAAUUUUGGGGAGAAUUAGGGUUAAUCAUGUUAAGGUUAAUUUAUCAAUUAUAAUUAGGGUUUAUUGAUCGGUUAUAAUUAGAGUUUGGUAGUUAUGACCUAAUUCAAACCCUAAUUCCCCAUAAGACUAAUUAAUCAAGUGAAAAGAGAGAGAGAUGUUUCGCUACAGGCACUGAAGGGACUUUUUCGACCCCCAACCCCACAACGGCAAACCGGCAAGGGGCGACCCCGCGUUAAGGACUUAGGGGUUGGGGUAAAUAGGGGAAGCCCCAACGCACCACCGACCGUGAAUCUGUGCCUUUGAGGCGAGUAAAUUUAAAGACCCUCCCCCGUGGCGGAGUCACAGUACAGGGACCGCAUCCAUAUGUGGAUAAAUCCGCAAAUUAAUUAAUAUCCAUUUAAUUCUUAUCUUAUAAUAUUUGUCUUGUGUAUUAUAUUAAAUAAAAAGUAUUGUGUUUAUUAUCUUAUAUCUAUAUUCUUAUCUUUAUCUUUAAAGAUAGUUGUUCUAUCAUAAUCCUUGUUAUAUAUAGUAAAAUAGAUUACUAUAUAUAUAUAUAUUAUAUAUAUACCUAUAGAUAUAUAAAUAUAUAUAUAUUAUAUAUCAAUAUAUAACUAUAUAAUGAUAAUAUACUAUUAUAGAUAUAGUAUAUAUAUUAUAAUAUAUAUAUAUAUAUAAUAUAUAAUUAUAUAAGAAUUUCAUGUGUAUAAUAUUUAUUAUACACGUAUAUAAGAUUAAUUUUUUUUUCACCAAAAAUUUACUAAAACUAAAUUAUUUACUUAGAAAGUUAAUUCAUAUAUAUAUAACUUUAUAUNNNNNNNNNNNNNNNNNNNNNNNNNNNNNNNNNNNNNNNNNNNNNNNNNNNNNNNNNNNNNNNNNNNNNNNNNNNNNNNNNNNNNNNNNNNNNNNNNNNNNNNNNNNNNNNNNNNNNNNNNNNNNNNNNNNNNNNNNNNNNNNNNNNNNNNNNNNNNNNNNNNNNNNNNNNNNNNNNNNNNNNNNNNNNNNNNNNNNNNNNNNNNNNNNNNNNNNNNNNNNNNNNNNNNNNNNNNNNNNNNNNNNNNNNNNNNNNNNNNNNNNNNNNNNNNNNNNNNNNNNNNNNNNNNNNNNNNNNNNNNNNNNNNNNNNNNNNNNNNNNNNNNNNNNNNNNNNNNNNNNNNNNNNNNNNNNNNNNNNNNNNNNNNNNNNNNNNNNNNNNNNNNNNNNNNNNNNNNNNNNNNNNNNNNNNNNNNNNNNNNNNNNNNNNNNNNNNNNNNNNNNNNNNNNNNNNNNNNNNNNNNNNNNNNNNNNNNNNNNNNNNNNNNNNNNNNNNNNNNNNNNNNNNNNNNNNNNNNNNNNNNNNNNNNNNNNNNNNNNNNNNNNNNNNNNNNNNNNNNNNNNNNNNNNNNNNNNNNNNNNNNNNNNNNNNNNNNNNNNNNNNNNNNNNNNNNNNNNNNNNNNNNNNNNNNNNNNNNNNNNNNNNNNNNNNNNNNNNNNNNNNNNNNNNNNNNNNNNNNNNNNNNNNNNNNNNNNNNNNNNNNNNNNNNNNNNNNNNNNNNNNNNNNNNNNNNNNNNNNNNNNNNNNNNNNNNNNNNNNNNNNNNNNNNNNNNNNNNNNNNNNNNNNNNNNNNNNNNNNNNNNNNNNNNNNNNNNNNNNNNNNNNNNNNNNNNNNNNNNNNNNNNNNNNNNNNNNNNNNNNNNNNNNNNNNNNNNNNNNNNNNNNNNNNNNNNNNNNNNNNNNNNNNNNNNNNNNNNNNNNNNNNNNNNNNNNNNNNNNNNNNNNNNNNNNNNNNNNNNNNNNNNNNNNNNNNNNNNNNNNNNNNNNNNNNNNNNNNNNNNNNNNNNNNNNNNNNNNNNNNNNNNNNNNNNNNNNNNNNNNNNNNNNNNNNNNNNNNNNNNNNNNNNNNNNNNNNNNNNNNNNNNNNNNNNNNNNNNNNNNNNNNNNNNNNNNNNNNNNNNNNNNNNNNNNNNNNNNNNNNNNNNNNNNNNNNNNNNNNNNNNNNNNNNNNNNNNNNNNNNNNNNNNNNNNNNNNNNNNNNNNNNNNNNNNNNNNNNNNNNNNNNNNNNNNNNNNNNNNNNNNNNNNNNNNNNNNNNNNNNNNNNNNNNNNNNNNNNNNNNNNNNNNNNNNNNNNNNNNNNNNNNNNNNNNNNNNNNNNNNNNNNNNNNNNNNNNNNNNNNNNNNNNNNNNNNNNNNNNNNNNNNNNNNNNNNNNNNNNNNNNNNNNNNNNNNNNNNNNNNNNNNNNNNNNNNNNNNNNNNNNNNNNNNNNNNNNNNNNNNNNNNNNNNNNNNNNNNNNNNNNNNNNNNNNNNNNNNNNNNNNNNNNNNNNNNNNNNNNNNNNNNNNNNNNNNNNNNNNNNNNNNNNNNNNNNNNNNNNNNNNNNNNNNNNNNNNNNNNNNNNNNNNNNNNNNNNNNNNNNNNNNNNNNNNNNNNNNNNNNNNNNNNNNNNNNNNNNNNNNNNNNNNNNNNNNNNNNNNNNNNNNNNNNNNNNNNNNNNNNNNNNNNNNNNNNNNNNNNNNNNNNNNNNNNNNNNNNNNNNNNNNNNNNNNNNNNNNNNNNNNNNNNNNNNNNNNNNNNNNNNNNNNNNNNNNNNNNNNNNNNNNNNNNNNNNNNNNNNNNNNNNNNNNNNNNNNNNNNNNNNNNNNNNNNNNNNNNNNNNNNNNGUGCGACACUACUUAGAGGGUUAAGUAGAUUGGUGUACAACCCAGAUCUUUUCCUAUAAAUUAAAGUGUUAUUUCCUUGCAUUUUCUUCCACACACUUUACUUUCCUAUCACUUUCUCUUAUCAAGUUGAGUUCAUGGCAUCCCCACGACCGUCGUCAUGGCAGCGAACAUCAUCAAGGCGCCGCGAUCCUGAACCAGUAAUCUUAAAAAGGGAUGGCAUGUUAUUUUCUCGCCUUUGAAACCCCCAAUGGAGAUGAAUUUUGGAACAUCCGUCGUUGGACCAACUAAAAAGGUCCUGAUGUCUUGGUUAGAGGGAGAUUACCAACCUGGUGAAGUCAUCAAAGGAUCAGAGGCUCUAGAACAAGGUUCUCAUUUUGAAACUGGAGAAACGAUACGUUGGUGGGUUGAAGUUGAAAGUGACAUUGAUUGCAUCCAAAUGAUGCAUGGAUCAAGACGACAUAGUGUUAACUGUUGUAAUUUCUAGAUUUAAUGGUUGUUUGUCAUGUUAUUGUUGUAUUUGUUAUUGUCUAGUACUUGUUCUUGUUUUAGUACUUGUUUUUGUUCCAGUAUUUGUUUUUUUUAGUAAUUGGUGUUGUAAUGUUAGAUGUUUGUGUUUGUUGUUUCAAGUGGUCAUCUUUAUUUGGAAUAAAAAGUAAACUUUAAUGAUAAAUAGCAUUGGUACACAGAUUAUGAAUAUGAAAACUAAGUUUGUGGAACUAGAUCCACGAUAUGGACAUUUGUUCUUAUUAUGCUCUAGUUGUCUACAUAUGCCUACACUUCCUCUGCAUUUUUUCUGCGACAUCCAUUCAGUUUCUAACGCGCCUGCUAUAGUUGGCGACCAUUUUUAUUCCGCCGCAUCGAUUCGUUUGCCAAACAAUGUUCCCCGUCAUACUCUGGCCAAUAUGCCUCCAAUGCUACCACCGAAAGGGAUGUCGUAUACAUUAGCAAGUUGCAACUUGAGAUGGGAGAACACUAGCGACAAUGCAUCGAAGUGGCUGUGGAACAUGCUGGCAAAUGACAUGGGAACAAGGCAUUCAAUAGGCCUGAAAUGACCACAGUCGCACCAACGGUCUGGUAUUGAGGACCCAUACUCUGUCUGGGCACCCCUGGUGUGGCAAGUUGUCCUUGACACAAAGUGGGCUAUGGCGUCCGAAGUUCCGUACCCGAUGGCUACUGGCUUGGCAGAUUCUGCCUCAUAACUUUAUGCAGCAUCACUAAUAUACUGACUGCGUCUGUAAACACUUCAUGCCAGCGCUUCCCUCUGUACGAACAAGUGCCUACACCGAAAAUAGGUCGCACUCACCAAAGCGGUUACCGGGAGGGUUACGUAUGCCCUUAAAGACGCCAUCAUUGAUCCACAAGAUUUGUUGUCAGAUGUGGCCACCUCACCCCAUCGUCAUAUGAUCUAGUCCAACUUCGCUCUGUCGAUAUAUCGAUCCACCUCCCUGCAUCAGAAUUGGCCAACACUAUUUCCCGGCGGUAGUAUUGGAAUCCAGGUUGUGUUAAUGCAUACCCCAGCGUUUAUCAAAUGUUGCUUCAAAAAAUUAUCUUGAACUCCCGCCACAAAUUUUUGAGCAAAAUGGCCUGAUGCAGUAGACAUGCGUAGACGGGGGUCCAUGCCAACCAUUUGCUGAUAUUGUAAUGGCACUGUCUAUAGAAGCGUGCCUGUCAGAAAUCACAUAAUGCCAGCUUGUGGAGUCACGUGCGUUCGGAGAUUCUAAGGAAGAACUCAAGCAGCAGCCGUUUCUCCUUCCAACCAAUGCAAAGGCUAUUGGGAAAGAUAUAGAAUUCAGUUCUUGUGCGCCGCCCAUCAGUAAACGAUCGCUUGUAUGUCCCCAUACAGCAGUUCCAUCGACUUGAACAAGUGGUUGCCAGGAGUGAAACCGAGAUGCAAGGACGGAAUGCCGAGAAAAUCAUGGAAUAUUCCAGUACCGUCUAGACGGAUUUCCGUCAGGGAUUGGUGCGGCAAGGUCUCCAUUAUAGAAAACCGCAUCCCAGGUGAUACAACGAGUGCAGGCCAGGUAGCGCGGAAAUUGUUGUAGAUUCUCACCCAAUUACCGAUACCAGUUCAAUUGCCCCUCUGUUCGCUAACUCAAUCCUUUCGUAUGACACGGUGUAAUUUGAAAAACAGCCACAAAUGGGAGAUAAUCAGUUUUGACUCUUCAAGUGACGGGUCACCUCAACAUAGAGGUAAUAAUGGAAUGCAAUCAUAUCAUGGCUAAGUUUGGCGAUGAUCUGUGCCAUGUGGUGUUGACGCGCAAGUGUAGUUGAGAAAUGGACUCUACACCUACGCAUUAUUCUUCUUGUCGCAUGCCAUCCAUCUAUACCCACACUCCGGAUUUAUGGCAUACAAUAACGUAAUCUUUCCGAUUUGAUUUGAUAACAUGCGUAUCAACCACAGUUUUUCAAGUGCCAGUUCUUAUUGCUAACAACACCUCCUUGUCCGGAAAUUGGCAACCCUUCUUUUAACUCGCUUAUCAUACCCAUAAUAUGGUUUGAGAACAUAUCUGAUGAGGGCUCAUCCUCGCCAAGUUUAAGGGGUUGUGAAGUGAGCAGGCGCUGAGUAGCGUUGCGCUCUAGUAUUGAACUAGGUCUCGUCUUCCAGAGUCACGGUUCACCAAGUCACAAACCCACGUCUUCUGCAUCUCAACCCAACUUGUUCAACGUGGUGCUAACAUCUUGUCGUCAUCAAUCACAAGAUCAAUAACGCUGUGACGAAAUUCUGUAGGCUUUUGAAAAUUGUUUCGCAACAAGUACAAACCAGUGUAUGCGUAACAGAAUACUCAUGGGUACAACACAUAUCUUAUCUCCAUGUCAAUUUGCAUCAAUGACUAUAAAUGACAGCGUUAUUUUCUGAAAAAAAAAGUUGUGAUAAAAAAUUGGGACACGGGUUUCUAAGUUUGGACCAUCUCCUUUCAGAAGAGAAUCAGCUCCUGCUAGUUAGCAAAACGAGUGCUAUUCGGCUGUUUCUAAAUAGGGCAGCCAGACAUAUCACAUUCAUAGUCUCACAUUGACGUGACUUUGAAUUUGCUAAGGAUGAAGAUGCCAUUUAUGUGAAAGGUCUUUGUGAAAUUGUGAAGAUAUAUGUGAAGAUUUUGAAGAUUCUGUGAAAUAUUGUGAAUACCUUGGUCGAAAGUGUUGAAUAUUUAAUACGCAAGUAUCCGACACAUCUUGCAUGCAUGUCUCAACCAAGCCUUCCCCAAGAGCGAACGCAGCGCAAGAACUGGGACAACGUGUACAAGCAUUCGGUAGCAACCAGCAAAUUUGGAAAGGCAAUGAAAGUUCAGAUCUUGCAGGCUAGUGAGCUGGCAUGCAUGUAAUAAUUUGAGCACGUCACCUCCUAAUCCAUCAAAUGUAUUCUCGCACCUAGCCUGAACUCUAGUCUCAAGAGAUUCCCACGCAUGCCUAUCCCAUCAAAAAGUAUCCGCACCAAUCUGCAGAAUUCCCACGCAAUCCUCACACGUGUCACACACCUUUGCAUGAACAUACCUACAGCCGUUGAACCUAGCGGCAAGAUUCACCCAUCUUUGGCAUCAGCACACCACCUAGCCUGAACCUAGUCUGCGACCUAGUUCCUCGCUAUAGCUUGCUGCACGGCAAUACUGAAUAAUCACACUUCCAAUACUAAACUACCUCUUUCACGCUAUGUGUUAAAAUAAUAUCAAUCUUAUUUAGCUAAUCUAUUAUUUAAACAACCUGAUUAAAUGAUGAAUAAAAACGAUUUAAAUUCUAAAACUGUUGUACAAAAAUAUAUUCAAAGCAAGAUCCACGCAGCCUCACAACAGUGUCACACGGCAUAUAUAUAUAUAUAUAUAUAUAUAUAUAUCUUGUAAAUAAUUUUAUUUAUAUAUAUGUAUUAAUAUAAAUUAAUAUAAUUUUUAAUAAAUCUAAAUUAAUAAAUUAAAAAAAAUUAAAAAAAAAAAAACAUAUUAAAAAAAAAAUGAGUGUAGGCGCCACUCCUAGUGGCGACUUGCCCUACCCUUUAAGGGUAGGCGCCAACUAGGGUGGCGCCUAGGUGUAUUUUAGGACCAAAAAUUGUCAUUUUUGUAAUUUUUUUGAAAAAUGGUGUAUUUUUGAAAUUUUUUUGAAAAAUCUGAAUAUUUAAAAAAAAAAAUCUCUCUCUCUUACUACAUCUAUAUGUACUUUUUCUUUAUAUUUUAAUAAAUAUAAAUAUAUUGAAAAUAUUAUAGUAAUAAAUAUUUUUUUAUAAAAAUAUAAAAACUAUUAUUAUUAUUUUUAAAAUUAAUAUGAUUAAUCAAUUUUAUACUUUUAUUAACCAAUAUUUUAUAUUUUAUUAACCAACUUUGUUUUGUUAUAAAAAAAUAUUUUUAACAUCUGAAUGUUUAUUAACCACUUUAAUCACUCCAUUAACCAACUUUUUAUAUUUUAUUAACCAAUUUUAUUUUACACUAAAAAUUAUUUUAAAUAAUUGAGUGUUAAUUAACCCGUUUCAUCACUUCAUUAACUAAUUUUUUAUAUCUUAUUAACCAACUUUGUUUCUCUAUUUAAAGAUACUGUUCACGAAUACUAUUUACAAGAUAUUGUUCAUGGUACUGUUCAUAAUACUGUUCAUAAAAUAUUUUUUAUUAUUAAAAAACACUAUUCACCGUAUAAAUAUGAUGAAAAUAUAUACGGUGUAAAUAUUGGUGUAUAAAAUGGAUAUAGAAAUAGCAUUUCAGAUAUCUUAUAUGUCUUUUGUUGGAGAUUAAGGUGGUACAUCAAAGAAAAUAAAGGUGACCGAAAAUGAAUAUGGGAUUUGAUUUUAUUGCUGUAGUGUGGCCACAAACUUUUGUAAAAUUAUUAUACCAAUUAAAAUUAAAAUAUGAUACAAGAUAAAAACACACCUUUUCCAAAAAAAAAGCAAUAAUAAUUUAAAAACACCUUUUUACUAUAAAAAAUUAACAUACUCAUUAUUAAAUAUAUUUUAUAUAUAAUAAUGAAUGCGGAACGUUUCCUUACUUAAAGAAAUAACAGAUUCUUAUAAAUAACAGAUUCUUAUACAUGAUAGAAUAUGGUAUUUGAUUUUAAAUUUAAGGUGUUGAAAUAACAUUACUCAUUUAUUUAUUUAUAGAGUUAUGUGAAAUUUACUUUUGAUGUGUUUGAAGGAGAAUAUUUAUAAAAGGGAAUGUUUUAGUGGACAAUUUAUUUUAUACAUCUAUCUAUAAAAUAUUUAUUCUCUUAUGGUGAUACAACUGUGAGUUAUAAAUCUUUUAUUAUUGAAUUUUUUUUUUUGAAGUUGAGCACCUUAUAUGUUAGAAGAUUCAAUAACAUUUUAGACAAAAAUGUAGUAUGUGUUAUGUAAUUUAUAAUCUCUCAUCUUAAAGUCAUAUAUGUGAAACGACUACAUAUUAAUAUUAAGAGGUCUUUAGUACUUUUGUAAAAGAUAAAAAUAAGGAAGAAUUCUAUUUCUUUAACUUGGAGGAGAAGAAAAAUGAAAAGAUAGAUAUGUUGAAUAAAAUCCUUUCAUCAACUUUCAAAUAAGUGCUAACUACCUAAAUCAAACCAACUACCUUUUUUUUUUAUUCUCUACCAUCACGACGUCACUUCUAUCUUAUCAAACAAGUGAUCCUUCAACUCUUCUGAAUUAUUGAAUUAGUGAUUUUAUUUUUCUUUCUCUAAACAAUUCAGGGGAACACCACCUAAAUCAAAUAAAAAUCAUUUAUGAUACCUUUGUGAAACAAUUGAACACCACAAAAUUAAAGAGCAUGAUACAUAUAAUUAAUUGAAAUAGCCCAAAAAACUCCUAACCACCUAGAAAUCAUGGACCAAAUGCCACUAAAACAUUCAGACACAAAAAACCAAGUGGUUAACACUUAGUAGUUUCUUAUUUCUUAUAUCUUUCGGAACAUAAUAAAGAAUUUGUGUUUAGAAUACCUUGUCACACUAAAUCGUCUUUGUUGGCAACCUAUUAUUAAAAAUUCUCAUCCUUAGAUUCUUGAUGUUCCACCUAAAAUGAAUGAGUGGUAAGGUGAUAAAUGCAUUUGAUCGAAUAUCCCUCACUAAGUUCUAGAUUUCAACACCAUUUAUCGAUCAUAUUAACCUAUAAAACAAGGUUAUCUAGAAAAUAAUAAUUAUAGUGCAUACUCCUCUUCCUGUGAAAAUAAUCUCUUACGCCACUUUCAUCCUCCCCCACCAAAAACUUAACCUAAGAUGAAUAUCUCAGUCACUGAAAUACUUUUACCUUGAGAUAAAUCAAACAACCUACUAAAUCUUAUUUUUAAAAGAACAUCACUCAAUCAUUUAUCAUCAAAGCACAACUCUACCUUUUCACCAUUUUCAUUCCUUGCAUUCAACACAUCCUUCCAUCACAUACACAUCUUAAUUCUCGCACAUUUCACCCAACCAUCAUCCACCUCAUGCUUAGUAAUAAUCUUCCACCACAAUUUUCUUAGAAAAUAAACAUUAAACUUCACCUUUUUAAACCCCAACAUUCAAAGUUUCAGCUAGGCACAUCUUAUCUCAUUUAAUCCAUUGUAUCUUUUUCUCCCCCUUACUCUCACCCCAUAAAAAUUUAAAUAAGGAUUUAAUAGAAAAAAUAGUAUAUGCAAGAGUCUUGAAGAAGGGGGGAAAGUAAAUUGCCACUGACAACAAGACAGAUUUAAGGAAACUCAGAUGGCCAUCCAUUGAGAUAUUUAUAUUUUUCCACCCCCGACAAUUUCUUCUUUAUUUUAUCAAUUAGAGGAGACCAAAAAGAUAAUCGGGGAGGAUUUUCAUUGGAAACCCUAAAUAAAGAAAAGGAAUAUGGCUAAUUUUGAAAUUAAGCAAAAAAAAUGUAUCCACUAACAAAGAAUAAACCAUAUUAACCCUGAUUAUCAUAUUUUUACACAAUUAUACCCUUCAACCAGACAUAAUCUCAAAUAAAACCAAUUUAUUCUUUAAAUCGCUGAUGUUUUUCAAACUAUUUACUCCAAUAAACAAAGCAUCAUUAGUAAACUCUAAUUUAGAAAUGCAAAUCUACUUAUUUUGAGACUCUCUAAUCGUAUAAUUUGUAAACAAGCAUUCAUUUGAUGAUGUCUUUAACAUGACGUACAAUCCCUCAACAACUAUAAAAAAAAUUGAUAAAGGAUCACCUUGACCAUGAACUUUUUUGAUUAGAAAUUCCUCCAUCGAGAAACCACUAACCAAAAUUGAUGAAGAUGUUGAACUAAUGCACUCCCUAAUCCACUUCCUCCACUUAACAAAAAAAUACAUGUUCCUCGUCACUGCACCCAAAUAAUUUCAUUCAACUUAAUCAUACGACUUCUCAAAAUCCACUUUAAAUAUAAUAAUUUAUUUCUUAUGUUUCUUAGCAUCAUCCACUACCUCAUUAGUUAGAAGAAUACCAUUCAAAAUUUGCCUAUACCCUUCACAAAAUCUUAUCGAGUUUAUGAAAUAACCUUACUAAUAACCAAUUUCAUCCUAUUCGCAAAAACCAUAGUUAAAACCUUAUACAUUCAUUCCACUAGAAAAAUAUAAAGGUGAUCCAAGAGUCUAACAAGAUUUUACACCUUAUAGAUUAAAGUGUAAAUGUACAAUUAGAACCAUUAACCAACUUCUAAUGCGAAUAGAAUUCUAGCAAAAAUAUGAUAAAAUCACUUUUUGUCUUAACCCAGAUUUAUUUAUAUAUAAAAAAAUUAACCUCGUCUAAUUUAGGACUUUUGAAAUAAUUACAAUUCCACGUUGCCUACCUCGCCUCUUCUUUCCCAAAAGUUCUCUCCAUAUUAUAAUCUUCCACUUUAUGGUUCUAUGUGUUGUGCAGGUUAAAACGUUAUGAGGUUUUGAUGAUGACAAUUAAACAAAGGGAAAGUUAAUCAUAAGCAUCAUCAUACAAUAAGCUAUCAAAAAGCAAAGUUGAUCAAGUUAUAAUAUUGAGAGAAAAAUAAGACAAAUCAAUUUCACAUAUCAACUUAUAAACAAACUAAAGAUGUGAAAGUUCAUCUGAUAUUGCACUUCAGAUUUAUAGUCUUUUUUUAUAAGUUAUAUGUAAAAUAAGUAUAAAUAAGUCUUGAAAUCUAUAACAAUAUAUAAAGCGAAAACUUGGAUUUGGUGUAGCCUUUUUUUCUACCAUUUUUACCCUUACUUUAUUGAAUAUUUUACUUAUUAAACCACUAUUAUCAACUUCUAUAUAACUUCCACUUUCUAUUAUUAACUUCCAAAUACUGUAAUUUUUUAAAAUUAUAUUUGAAUAUAAAAUAUGAUUUAUAUUUAUCCAUUAUACCCUUUAUAUUUAUUUAUUUUUUCUUUUAUUUUAAAUGGAUAAAAUUUAUUGUUCCUGCUUGACUAUAAAAGAAAAAUAUUUAUAUAACUUGCGGCAAUAACUUCCACUUAAUAUUAACCUCCUCUCUCACUUCCACUUUCUAAUAUUAACUUCCACAUAAUAUAAUUUUUUAAAAUUAUAUUUAAAUAUAAAAUAUGAUUUAUAUUUAUCCAUUAUACUCUUUAUAUUUAUUUAUUUUUUAUUUUAUUUUUAAUGGAUAAAAUUUGUUGUUACAUGUUGACUAUAAAAGAAAAAUAUUUAUAUAACCUGCGGCAAUAACUUCCACUUAAUAUUAACCUCCUCUCUCACUUCCAUUUUCUAUUAUUAACUUCCACAUACUAUAAUGUUUUAAAAUUAUAUUUAAAUAUUUAUAUAAUCUGCGGCAAUAACUUCCACUUAAUAUUAACCUCCUCUCUCACUUCCAUUUUCUAUUAUUAACUUCCACAUACUGUAAUGUUUUAAAAUUAUAUUUAAAUAUAAAAUAUGAUUUAUAUUUAUUCAUUAUACUCUUUAUAUUUAUUUUUUUUUUAUUUUAUUUUUAAUGGAUAAAAUUUGUUGUUACAUGUUGACUAUAAAAGAAAAAUAUUUAUAUCUAUAACAAUAUAUAAAGGGAAAACUUGGAUUUGGUGUAACCCUUUUUUCUACCAUUUUUACCCUUACUUUAUUGUAUAUUUUACUUAUUAAACCACUAUUAUCAACUUCUAUAUAACUUCCACUUUCUAUUAUUAACUUCCACACAUACUGUAAUUUUUUAAAAUUAUAUUUGAAUAUAAAAUAUGAUUUAUAUUUAUCCAUUAUACCCUUUAUAUUUAUUUAUUUUUUCUUUUAUUUUAAAUGGAUAAAAUUUAUUGUUACAUGUUGACUAUAAAAGAAAAAUAUUUAUAUAACUUGCGGCAAUAACUUCCACUUAAUAUUAACCUCCUCUCUCACUUCCACUUUCUAAUAUUAACUUCCACAUAAUAUAAUUUUUUAAAAUUAUAUUUAAAUAUAAAAUAUGAUUUAUAUUUAUCCAUUAUACUCUUUAUAUUUAUUUAUUUUUUAUUUUAUUUUUAAUGGAUAAAAUUUGUUGUUACAUGUUGACUAUAAAAGAAAAAUAUUUAUAUNNNNNNNNNNNNNNNNNNNNNNNNNNNNNNNNNNNNNNNNNNNNNNNNNNNNNNNNNNNNNNNNNNNNNNNNNNNNNNNNNNNNNNNNNNNNNNNNNNNNNNNNNNNNNNNNNNNNNNNNNNNNNNNNNNNNNNNNNNNNNNNNNNNNNNNNNNNNNNNNNNNNNNNNNNNNNNNNNNNNNNNNNNNNNNNNNNNNNNNNNNNNNNNNNNNNNNNNNNNNNNNNNNNNNNNNNNNNNNNNNNNNNNNNNNNNNNNNNNNNNNNNNNNNNNNNNNNNNNNNNNNNNNNNNNNNNNNNNNNNNNNNNNNNNNNNNNNNNNNNNNNNNNNNNNNNNNNNNNNNNNNNNNNNNNNNNNNNNNNNNNNNNNNNNNNNNNNNNNNNNNNNNNNNNNNNNNNNNNNNNNNNNNNNNNNNNNNNNNNNNNNNNNNNNNNNNNNNNNNNNNNNNNNNNNNNNNNNNNNNNNNNNNNNNNNNNNNNNNNNNNNNNNNNNNNNNNNNNNNNNNNNNNNNNNNNNNNNNNNNNNNNNNNNNNNNNNNNNNNNNNNNNNNNNNNNNNNNNNNNNNNNNNNNNNNNNNNNNNNNNNNNNNNNNNNNNNNNNNNNNNNNNNNNNNNNNNNNNNNNNNNNNNNNNNNNNNNNNNNNNNNNNNNNNNNNNNNNNNNNNNNNNNNNNNNNNNNNNNNNNNNNNNNNNNNNNNNNNNNNNNNNNNNNNNNNNNNNNNNNNNNNNNNNNNNNNNNNNNNNNNNNNNNNNNNNNNNNNNNNNNNNNNNNNNNNNNNNNNNNNNNNNNNNNNNNNNNNNNNNNNNNNNNNNNNNNNNNNNNNNNNNNNNNNNNNNNNNNNNNNNNNNNNNNNNNNNNNNNNNNNNNNNNNNNNNNNNNNNNNNNNNNNNNNNNNNNNNNNNNNNNNNNNNNNNNNNNNNNNNNNNNNNNNNNNNNNNNNNNNNNNNNNNNNNNNNNNNNNNNNNNNNNNNNNNNNNNNNNNNNNNNNNNNNNNNNCAAUAACUUCCACUUAAUAUUAACCUCCUCUCUCACUUCCACUUUCUAAUAUUAACUUCCACAUAAUAUAAUUUUUUAAAAUUAUAUUUAAAUAUAAAAUAUGAUUUAUAUUUAUCCAUUAUACUCUUUAUAUUUAUUUAUUUUUUAUUUUAUUUUUAAUGGAUAAAAUUUGUUGUUACAUGUUGAUUAUAAAAGAAAAAUAUUUAUAUAAGAGAUUAAUUGAAAUACACUGUCAGUGUAAAAGGAUUUUACACCAUCACUUAAUUAUAGACGUUGGAUAUUAAAAGAAGUUUGACUUUUAUUUUAAAAAUCUAUAAAGUAAUACAAACGGGUGAUGGUGAUGAACCGACGGUGUAAAACUUUUUACACUGACAGUAUAUAGUAAUUAAUCUCUUUAUAUAACCUGCGGCAAUAACUUCCACUUAAUAUUAACCUCCUCUCUCACUUCCAUUUUCUAUUAUUAACUUCCACAUAAUGUUUUAAAAUUAUAUUUAAAUAUUUAUGUAACCUGCGGCAAUAAUUUCCACUUAAUAUUAACUUUCUCUCUCAGUUUCCAUUUUCUAUUAUUAACUUCCACAUACUGUAAUGUUUUAAAAUUGUAUUUAAAUAUAAAAUAUGAUUUAUAUUUAUCCAUUAUACUCUUUAUAUUUAUUUUUAUUUUAUUUUAUUUUUAAUGAAUAAAAUUUGUUGUUACAUGUUGACUAUAAAAGAAAAAUAUUUAUAUAACCUGCGGCAAUAACUUCCACUUAAUAUUAACCUCCUCUCUCAUUUCCAUUUUCUAUUAUUAACUUCCACAUACUGUAAUGUUUUAAUAUUAUAUUUAAAUAUUUAUAUAACCUGCGGCAAUAACUUCCACUUAAUAUUAACCUCCUCUCUCACUUUCAUUUUCUAUUAUUAACUUCCACAUACUGUAAUAUUUUAAAAUUAUAUUUAAAUAUAAAAUAUGAUUUAUAUUUAUCCAUUAUACUCUUUAUAUUUAUUUAUUUUUUAUUUUAUUUUUAAUGGAUAAAAUUUAUUGUUCCAUGUUGACUAUAAAAGAAAAAUAUUUAUAUAACUUGCGACAAUAACUUCCACUUAAUAUUAACCUCCUCUCUCACUUCCACUUUCUAUUAUUAACUUCCACAUACUAUAAUUUUUUAAAAUUAUAUUUAAAUAUAAAAUAUGAUUUAUGUUUAUCCAUUAUACUCUUUAUAUUUAUUUCUUUUUUAUUUUAUUUUUAAUGGAUAAAAUUUGUUGUUACAUGUUGACUAUAAAAGAAAAAUAUUUAUAUAACUUGAGGCAAUAACUCCUACUUAAUAUUAACUCCCUCUCUCACUUCCACUUUCUAUUAUUAACUUCCGCAUACUAUAAUUUUUUAAAAUUAUAUUUAGAUAUAAAAUAUGACUUAUAUUUAUCCAUUGUACUCUUUAUAUUUUUUUUUCUUUUAUUUUUAAUGGAUAAAAUUUGUUGUUACAUGUUGUCUAUAAAAGAAAAAUAUUUAUACAACUUGCGGCAAUAACUUUCACUUAAUAUUAACUCCCUCUCUCACUUCCACUUUCUAUUAUUAACUUCCACAUACUGUAAUUUUUUAAAUUUAUAUUUAAAAUUUUAAAAUUAUAUUUAAAUAUAAAAUAUGAUUUAUAUUUAUCCAUUAUACUCUUUAUAUUUAUUUAUUUAUUCUUUUAUUUUUAAUGAAUAAAAUUUGUUGUUACAUGUUGACUAUAAAAGAAAAAUAUUUAUAUAACUUGCGGCAAUAACCCCCUCUCUCACACAUACAACUGUUUUUUAAUUUUUCAACUGAUCCCCACACAAUUAUUUAAUCUUUAAAUACCUUAAAAUCAUAAUGCUUUGGAAUCAUAAUUAUUUUCUAUUUCUUCAGACAAAACGAAGGUUGAAAGGUUAUAUAUAUAUAUAUUGGUUAGUUUUUUCUCUUCAUUUGAAUAUUAAUUAGUAUUCUUUUUUACAUUUCUCAUUUAGUUUCAUUCUUACAGAUUAUAAGAGUUCAAUAUUAUUUUAAAAUCUGAAUGCUUUGGAAUUAUAAUUGUUUUCUAUUUCUUCAUACAAAAUGAAGGUUGAAAGGUUUCAGACAAAGUGAAGGUUGAAAGGUUAUAUAUAUUGGUUAGUUUUUUCUCUUCAUUUAAAUAUUCUUUUAAAAUCAGAUUUUAAUAGCAUUUCUUAUUUAGUUUCAUUCUAACAGAUUUUAAGAGUUCAAUAUUACUUUAAAAUCAGAAUGCUUUGGAAUCAUAAUUAUUUUCUAUUUCUUCACAUAAAAUGAAGGUUGAAAGGUUUCAGACAAAAUGAAAGUUGAAAGGUUAUAUAUAUAUUGGUUAGUUUUUUCUCUUCAUUUGAAUAUUAAUUAGUAUUCUUUUUUACAUUUCUCAUUUAGUUUCAUUCUUACAUAUUUUUAGAGUUCAAUAUUAAAGUAAUAUAAUGUUUUUGUUUUGACGUCUAAAAUUGUGUUACCCUUAAAGUUCAAUGUAGUUGUUGAUCA